CCAUCUGUCACAGGGAUAUCAAAUCUAGUAACAUAUUGUUGGAUGAAAACCUCCGGGCAGUAGUUUCUGACUUUGGACUUUCAAGGUCAAUACCCCUUGACAAAACUCACUUAACUGCGUUGGUACAAGGGACAUUUGGUUACUUGGAUCCGGAUUAUUUUCAUUCAGGUCAAUUUACAGAUAAAAGUGAUGUGUAUGCCUUCGGUGUAGUCCUUGCUGAACUUCUGACAGGAGAACAAGCCAUUUCCUCGGAUAGAUCUGAACAAGGUCUAGCUAAUCAUUUUAGAUCAGCAAUGAAACAAAAUCGUCUGUUUGAAAUUCUUGAUAACCAAGUUGUAAAUGAAGGACAGAAGGAGGAGAUUUUCGCCGUUGCUAAGCUUGCUAAGAGAUGCCUAAAGUUGAAUGGGAAAAAAAGGCCAACCAUGAAACAAAUUGAUAUAGACCUCCAACAAUUGGGCACAUUUCAGGAGCAGUUGUCUUUUCAGAAGACAUGGAUUCAAGAACCUUCCUUGCAGCAGCAAACAUGCCAGGACUACUGCACGGUAAGUGAAACAUCCCAUUCCUACACAUUUUGUCCAGUUACAGAAGAAAUAGUUCAUGACGAUGAGGACUUGCUUUCCUAAGGAAUACAGUAUGGUAGCUUGAAGUUUCGGUUAAAUAACGGGAUGUUUAUUUAUGCUAUUGACUUCUGGAAUAAUGAUGUAAUGAAUGACUCCGAACCUUGUUUUACUUUGUUUAAUUUGUUUCAAGUAUGGUAUACAUAUUAUUAGGGUCCAACCGGGGUUGAGGCUGGCUGACAGUCAAUCAAGGUCAACCUCUAUAUACACAUGAAGUUCAUUUGCCAAACCCAACAAUUCAAUCUAAGCUGCCUAAACUAUUUUCAUCAACCGCCUAUGACUUAAGAAAUAAUAAACCAAUGCUAACAUUCAUUGAACUAGUAAUGAAUCCAGAACUUGUGCAAUAUCACUCUCGCAAUAUGUAAAUUUAGAACAUUUAUUUCUCAAUUAAUCUAAACAGUGGGAUGGCCUUGACUAAAAUAAAGAUAAAGACCAUUACAUAUGAUUUUAGGACACUUCUAAGUAAUUUAAUUCUAUGUCAACCAUCACAUGUAAUUAAAAAUAAGACUUCUUACUUUUCCUACAUGUUUUAAGAAGACAUUUACGUUCAUAUAUUCGUAAUUGAGCGGCUCCACCUAGCUGAAAAUGUGGAAAAGAUAGGAUGGUUGAAAACUAUGAUCUAAGGAAAAACCCAUUAUUAAUAAUUUUGGCAUUUUAAAAUAUCAUAUAUUAUUGCUCUAAACAGAAAACUUAUUAAAAAAUUAAUAUAAAUUUUUUUAAAGAAAAUUUUCUUAGAUUUUAAUAUAAAUUUGACAGCACAUAUUAAUAAAAUUUUACCAUCAAAUAUUAUUGCAACUAAAAAAAAUUACAAAUUUUAGGGAUUCAACUUGACCGAAUGCAUAGGUGAGGAGAACAUCAUCUCCAUCACUUACCAAAAGCUGUGAACUUUAAACAAUAUAUUAAUUUGUUGUAUAUAACAUUGAAUGUGCUAGGGGAGCCAAAUCUCAUUAUAUUCCAAAGAUAAUUCUAAAACUAAUUUUUAUAAUCUUGCAAAAUAGGAUGAUAUCAACGCCUAAUUAGCAUUUUCCAAAGAAGGACCCACUGAAGAAAAGGGUUUGUACUUAACUCCAGCCAAUUUGAAAUGAACCCCUUACAGAGAGUGUGCCACACGUUCUUUAACUAUUUAUACUCGAUUGUUUUAGAGUUUAAAGAGAUUAGUGAUUGGAGAGAGAUUUUAGCAAGAAAUUAUUGAGAAAAAGACAUUAAAGACUCCUUUGAUUUAUUUUUCUUCUCUAUACAAUCAAUUUAAUCAUUGGUUAUUGGAUACUAGAGAUUCUUGGCAUACUUUCUCGUUACCUAUCCUAUGAGAAACCUAUAGAAGUAGUAAAGACUAAAAGCUAAGACUUGAACCUAAGUUAAUUUUCCUUCAUUGUAUUGUAGUUUGAAAUCAAAAUUGAAAGGGAAACUAGGUUUUAGAUGCAACUUUAAGUCAUAAACUCAAAUUAAUUUUGAUUAAUCAAAUAUUUUGAAACCUUAAGAUCAAUUCAACUUGAAUACCCUUUUUUGCUCCAAAGUUCGAUUGUGAAGCCUAUAGACUUGAAUCAAUUGACUUAGAAAUUAACAAUUGUUAAGCUAGUUCAUUAGGUUUAAUUUAGUUAUCUCAAAUUCACUCAAAUCAAUUUGAUCAAUAUUUUCACUUAGAGAAUAAGAAACAAUUAUUUUAGCUUAGUUUGAGGAAUUUUUGUAGGCUAGCUUAUAACAUAUCUACCUUGAAUUUAAGAGAGAGAGAGAGAGAGAGAAGAUAAGUGAGCUAGAUAUUUUUGGUUUAUAACCACACAAUAUCUUUAUCUUGCUCUAGUUUUUUCACAUUGCCAAAAAUUAAAGGGGGGGAAUAAAACAUAAAGGUCUUUAAACAACUUUGAUUCAAAGAAUUUAGGUUUAGAUGUUCCCAAACCUUAAAUUAAAAGUGUUGAAGAUGACCUCAAAGGUGUUGAAAGUCUCGUAAACCCACAAUCUUCGACCUAAUAACUCAACCUCAUUCUUGGCACACUUCCAAUGGUAAGGAAAGAAGAGUUGAGCUUGUGACUCUUUCUUUUUGGAUGGUAGAAGACAAAAGUAAUGGAAACUGUAACCUUUAAGAGGGUAUUUAUAGAGUUUCCUAGCUAAUUGAGUUUAAGUCCACAUGGGAAAGGUCACUUAAUCUAAGCCCCAAUUGUGUCCUAAUUGAUUAAUUAACCCAACAAAUCUUAUUAAUUAAUCAAUUAACCUAAUCCAGAGACUUUGUUCACUUACUCCUAUGCAACUUAGCAUAAUUACCAAAAUACCCUUAUAUACAAAAAUGAACCUAAAGUCAAUCUAACCCUCAUAACCUAUGCCAACAAGAUAUAUAAGCUCAAAGCAAGGACCAUUGGUACCCAUAGGAGUACUAGAUCCCUUAGAAUCUAAUUCUAAAGUUUAUUCAACAUUUUACUAUAGAAAAUCAAUUGAACUCCAAUAUCCUAUGUAAAUAAUAAUAAGACACUAUGUGCUCAAGUCUGUGACUUGUUAUCUAUUUCAUUUAGUCUUCUCAUGAACUGGUGUUCAUAGUUUAACAAGGUGAAAGAUAUCAACCUUUCAAAACUACCUAUAUUAUUCUAGAGUUAUAGAUUCUCCUAUUGUGUGUUCAACUAACAUGUCUUAACUCUCAAAGAGCCUAUGUCAAGUUUCAUUUAAGGAACUAUUAUAAUCAUAGUUUUUAUGAACACGCCUCCUUAGGAUCAACCAAUGCGACACUCUAUUUCAAUUCCAUAAGAUAGCAUGAUGGCUCUAUUGAGAAUAUUUAUUGUUAUUGGUUUCCUUCAAUAAUGGUCCAAUCCAUAAGGAAUAUAUGAUCAACUUAUGAUCUCAUCUGUGGGUCAAAACUAAUAAUAACUUUAACACAAACUGAAUAUUCUCUCAAUGUUGAGAGAUAACACAAUGAAGCAGCUUGGUAAGAUCAUGACUACUUGAUAGCCUUAAGUUAUAACUCACAUAGGUCCUAUCAAAUGUGUAAUCAUAUACGCUAGUACACUCACCAUGAGAAACCAUGUUGAUAGUCAAGACCAACUAUCCCUCUAAUUAGGAGAUGAUGCACUACAACCUCUAAUGGAUUACCUAAACCCACAAAUCGGUUGUGAACAAGUUAUCUAUUUUCAAAGAACAUGUGAGUUGGAUCUUCUGUGCAACUCUUAAUGCACCAAAAUGACGAUCAACAUAAAAGAUGUAGACAAGAAUGGUCAUAAAGUGUAGUACAUGGAAUAAGGAUAGAUAAAAAGUGAAACUAAAAUAUCAUUAAAUAAAAAAUUUCAAAUUUAUUACAUCAUAUUAUUAAAUAAUGAAUUCCAAAUUUAUUACAUCAUGUAAUGCUUUUAAGGGCUCUAUCCUAACAGUUACUUUGUUGAACAUCUCGAUAUCUAGCGACAUCUUAUUUUAUUGUGGUUCUUAGAAAUAUGAAUUCGAUACAUCAAUUGUAGUUUCCUAAAAUCAUGCUCUCUAUUGUGGUAUCAAAAUACCAAAACCGAUAUCUUAGUGGUAUCGAAUUGUUUAUUCAUGUACAUUCUUUCUUCAAUUCUCUAUACAAAUUCUUAUCAACUCCUAACAUUAAUUCCAAAAUAUCUUUAGCAUAUAAAUAGGCCAAAGCAAUUGAACAUUCUGCAAUUAUGCUUAGAAUAGCAUCAAUCAAACCUCUUAAACCUAUAUAACUUACACAUAAGUCAACUCCCCCAAACCUUUAUUUGCUUCAAAGAUCUAAGCACAAAUUUGAAUUGUGGAGUCCCGAGACUCAAUCAAUUGAAAUAGAAAUUAAUAAUUAUUUUGCUAGUUCAUUAGGUUUCUUUAAUUUAGAGUUGUCUCAAAUUCACUCAAAUCAAUUUGAUCAAUAUUUUUAUCUUGGGAAUAAGAAGCAAUCUUUUUACUUAGUUUUGGUAAUGUAUAUAGGCUAAUUCUUGAGAAUGAUACCAGGAGUACUACGAAAAUGUUGUUGUCUUUUUUUUUUUUAUUUAACCAAAGUUACAACGUAAAAAAGCUUAGUAUUUUAAAUAACAUAGAAUCAUAGUCACCUGAUAUGAAUACCAACCCCACAGGAGAAUAGAUCUCUUUAACAAUCUAAUUUCCCCGUGUUUCACCUAGUUGCAACUUCUAUAUAAUUAAAGUAACACAGUAAAUAGAAGUCAACUACACUACAUAUAAGUGUAGCCUAAAUAGAAUUUACUUGCAUAUGAUUCCCUCGAAUCUUAAACUCAUAUAAAUUUUAAAACAAUUAUACAAUUAAGACGAGCCUACUACCUAUAAAAUGUCAUAAAUUUCUUUCCUAUCAUACAUAGGAUAUUACGAUCUUAAUAGGCAAUAUUUUUUAUGAAUGAUCACUUACUUAUCCAUCUUGUUACGUACUCAUUACAAGUACUAUAUAUAUUAAAUGGCUUGCAAACUGUAUUAUGAACCUAUUCAUUUUUCUCCUGCGUAUCAUAUCUCAACAUGUGUUUUGGCUUUUUUUUUUUUUGUCAUUUUCAAUCUUAAUAGGAAAUCUAUUUGAUGAAUACCUAUACUAGGAGACAUUGGAGUAGUUGAGACAAAAUGUUUUAGAAACUCUCUAUUAAGUUGUUUUUAGUUUUUAUUUAAUUAUAAUCAAGGACUAAAAUAUAGGAAAUUAUGGAAAUAUUUUAAUAUUUCUUAUUCUGUAUUAGUGUACUCAUAAGAAAUAAAAAAGAUUAUAUAUUUGUUUUAGGCAUAUGAAUUAAGGAAAAGUGUGUUUCUUGCACCAUGUGAAAAAAAAUCAUAAAAUAUGAAGAAGUCAAGUUUAUAAAAUCCAAGCUUCAAACCACCAUCUGAAAAUAAUUAGGAUUUUAUACACUUUUUUUUUUUUAUCAAAAUGCUAUAUACCACAUUUUAAUAUUAUGGUAUUACAUUUUUGUAGUAUAUAUUUUUCAAACAUUUUUGAAAAAUGUUUUAACCCACAUUUUUUGUUCGGACACCAUCUCAAGUACUAUCUUCGAUUGUGAAUGCAUAAAAUUUGAAUUAUUUAUAAAAAAUUAUAAUUUUGUGAUUAUUUUUAUAUGAGUGUGUGGAAACACACUUCUCCCAAUGUAUCACAAGGGCUCAGUUUUGUUGAUGCCAAGUCAACUGGAAGUAAUGUCUCUCCCUUAUUUCCUGCAAAAGAUGUUCGGACACACCCUCCAAAGCUCAAGUCAGAUGAUAAAAGCCAAUUUUGAGACGGAGAGCGAAUUUUUACAAUGUCUAGAACAUUGUCACAUUUGUGCUGAGAUAGCUUCUUGACUUUCAUAGUCAUGAUGACAACACAGUUGGUGACAGAGCAAUCAUCACCCUUUAGGCGGCUGACAGGGAUUGCUAGUGGGGGUAACCUAAUGGUUCACUAGUCACUUCAUUCUAUAAGCGAUAUGGUACAACAUGUAGCAAGCCGCCUGCGGAUACAGGGUGAUGUCCCAUCGAGCGUGUUCCUAGCAUAGGGAGAAUGAUUGCUCGUGGGAGUGGGUCAGGAUACCUAUUUGGAGUGCAUUGCAUAGUUUUUAGAGGAACACCGCGUAACUGGCUAUUGGUACUUCCAACCCGGAUUGGAUAUUCAGGUCUGGUUACAUUCAUCUGGACAUAGGUAUAAGGAUGCCACGUGGAGCCAAUGUGGCAUGCCAAGUGGUCACACGAGGAAGCCCCCUACAAUGCCCCAUUUUUACCUGAUUGUUUAGUUCGGACAGAAAAGGCGAGUUAAAACAUUUUUUAAACCCCUUCGGUGACCGUAUGACACGUGGUGUCUGAGAAGGGCAUUUAUGGAGGAGCGUUGUUAUUGAAGUUGUUGACAGGUAGCAUGUCACCUUGAGGGGUGUAUUUUUGGGCAUCCUGUCAUUUGGGUUCCUAGGGAAUUUGCCCUUAUAAAUAGGAAAUUAAUCCUUAGGAAGCACACUUCUUUGUCUUUCCUUCCUCGAAUUUGCUUUUCAUCUUCUAUUUGCUCUGCACCUCCCACAUCCAGGCAACGACUAUUGCCUUCAUGUUGUCAUACGUCUUUUCCAACGGUUUUUCGAUUGGUUUAGUUUCGGCAUUCACAGUUCGUCUUUGUAUUUUGCUGAAAGCGCUCAUCAGGUACAUUUGUCCUUGUUCUAUGAUGCCCCUAAUUUCCCAUUUCUCCUUGGUUGUGUUGUUGGCUUGUGAUUGGGGAUUGUUCUGGUGCCUGAGAGUUCCGAUCAACCACAAAAUGGCUAUUCUAAUGUUUGUAAAAGAGGGUGCAUAACUUUCCUGGGGUAGUAUGUCUUGUCAGUGGCAUGCCCUGCUAACCUUUAUUAGGGUUAUGUUUUGUUGUUUCCGUGCUGAGGCUCUAUUGAGUCCACCUGGCACUUAUUUUUCCUUUGUGUGUUUGGGGUGUCAUGGCGGGAAAAUCCUCAACUAGGAUUGGGGACUGUUGAGCGGAGCUGGGUACCUUGAACAAGGCAAGCCUUAAAUCUGGUAUGUUAGCCCGUUGGAUGUCUUAGGGCAUUGUCUUUUGGCGGUAGGGUCGGGUAGUUGCUUUCUAACUAUCGGCAUUAUGCCAUGCAGGUCCAACUCGACCCAUUGCUCUAAGAUGUCUGCAAAAAAAAAAAAAUAUCUCCUCAUCCAGUGCAAUUGGGCAAGGCGGGAAGGAUGGUCGGGCAGGCGUAAGUUUCAGACGGCCUAGUUUGGGAAAACCUACCGAGCUCCUUAAUGAGAGAGUAUUCCACAAGCAUUUUUUCAUUCCAAAUGGUGUUUCUGUUUAGUUAGUGAAUGGGAGUCUGGCGUCCACUACGAAGGUAGCUCAUGGUGCCAUCUUCUUUAGUAAGGAGCAAUUCAACGUGGCGUUCCGCUUUCCUUUCCCAUCCCUCUUCAAACAAUUCUUGCAUUAUACCCAAAUCUCUCCAGCCUACAUCCAUCCUAACAUUGUUCGAGUGCUGAUGGGAUGUAACAUCUUGAACAUGCUCUUCCAUUUGAAUCUCUCCCUGUUAGAGGUUCUCUUCGUCUACACUAUCAAGAAGGGUAAAAAGGAUAUCUUCAGCAUGUUUGCCCAUAUCCUAUCCCUCCAACUAGUGACCAGUCUUCUUGAUUCGAACAAGGGGGGAGCCAAAGGACAUGUACUGUUCCGGGGACUAUGGGUUGGCUUAAUAGAGCAUUCAAAAAGGGAUUUUUGCCCUAACUUUUCACUGAAAAUUCUUGUUAGGGAUGGCUUUGAGUGUUCUUUCUCUUGUUUUUUCCUAUUGAACCGAUGUCGUUUGAUCAUUAACAUUUUCUAUUUUGGUUGGUGCAAGUAAAGACAGAAGGGGUCGCCUGGUAGAGUGGGUAAAGAAAGCUUCGUUUACUCGUUUGAACAAGCUGUUUGAAAUUACCAUGAACGAAAUGAACCAUCAGAGGCUUCUUAUUGCUCGGAACCUACUUGCGGUUAUCCGGGGCCUCAAUUGUACAUUCUUUCCAUCAUUCCUAGGUGGCUUCCUAAGGUUGUGGUGCCCAAGGAGUAUUACAUCUUGAAAGAUCUCCUCUUUUACGAAGAAACGUGUGAGACAGAUACUAAAGCUCGCCAGGAGCGCUUCAACCAGAGGGAGGAGAUAAGGCAAGAGGGGACACUAAGGAGGGCUCUAGGCGAAAAUGGUCGGGCUUCAUCUUCUACAGCCUAUCCACCGGUUAAGAAGAAGAAGUCUAGUGCCAAAUCAGUUAAGGCUUUGGUUUCGGCUCCUGCCUCGCCUUCUAUCUCUACUCUUUUCGCAUCUACUUUGGUGGAUAGCUUCGUUCCGGCUUCAAAGGGUGAUUUGGACCCCCCAGAUUUUAAACGAAGUGACUUGGGCAUUAGCCAUUUCGAACCCGAGCCAGAGCCUAUAGAACGCAACGUCAUAAAUGAGCCUGAGGUGGAGAAAGGCAUGGCGACUGGCUUGAGAGCCAACUUCAAGGAGAGACAUCGUAAAUGCCUUCAUGAGGCUAUAACAAUUGAUACUCCCCCAGCCAAAAGAACCUGUCUUAAGGGGGUUCAGGAGGAGCCCAUGAGAGAUGCUUCUUCAGUGCUAGUGCCUUCACAGGAUACUACGAAUUCUAUCAACAUGCCGGCUGUUGAGAAAGAGACUGGGCCUGCUUAGGAUGGGGCACUUGGUGGUGUGGCUCCUAUUGAAGAGGGCUUGGAUAAAAAGGAUACCCUUGUUUCCGCUCUUCCUCCUAGCUAAGAAGAAAUGAUAGAGAUGCUGAGGCGGGUCUUGUGCUUCAUUGAUGCUAAACCACCUUCCACAAAGAUGUCAAACUUUUUCCCCCUUACUAAGCGGAUUUCGGUCAAUCUGGGUGGUGACCCCUCUGCUUUUGUAUCAGCUCGACUCCCAUUCGACACACCUGAGUCUGCCAUUUCCCAUAUUCAGCAACUACAGGAUUACACGGUUCUAGAGACUACAGAAGUGGUAAUCUUUUCUGCUUUUUUUUAUGAUAAUGUGAACUUUGGCGCCUAAGGUGUGUCCGCUCCUAAUUUUGCUUCAAUCAUUGUCUUCAGGUGGUAGCCAGAGUCCGCAACAUGGUACGUCAGCGUGAUCUACUUUUUGAGUGGUUGGAGGUUGUUGAGGCCAUGAGGACUUUCAUUUGCCACCAUAUAAGCAACGACGAAUAACUGCAUGCAAAAUUGGAGCGAGCAGAGAAUGAUCUUUUUGCCGCUUAAAAGGUUGCUACGGAAGGAACUGAAGCUUUAAAGUUAGAUGAUGGGAAGAAGGAAGCGAUCUACACCAAGGCGGACAAGCUAAGGAAGGAGGGCAGACCUGCGGAGGUCAAGCUUAAAGAGGUUGAAUAGGAGAAUGCCCAACUGAAGAAGGAGAUGGAGGAGCUCUAGGCAAGACUCGUGGCUCAGAAAAAAAAGAUGGAAGAGCUUAAGACUGGGUUUGUAGCUUAGAAGAAGGAACUAGAAGAGGAGUACCAAAAGCAAGUGGAUGAGAUGUACUUCUUCAGCUAUCGCUGCUGCAUGAAGAAGAAUGACAUUACCUAAGACAUUCCCUCCAUUCCUUCUGAAGAUGAGGAUGAAGUUCUUGGAGGUUCCUCCUGAUGAGAUGGCAUUUCUCCCUUGUUUUACUCAGAGCAAAUCUUUAUUACUGGAUAAUUUUCUUUCCGCCGCGAUUGAUUCGACCAAUGAUUUGUAAAAAACAAUUUUAUACUUAUAAUUACAAAUGCAAUGUUCACUUGUUCUUUUUUCAUUCUUAACUUCUUUUUGCCUUUACUGAUAGUAUUGUUUUAGAUUAGAUACAUUCCACGGACGAAGUAAAGGAGUUCCGUCCAACCUUUGUAAAUGGUAAGCCCUAAUUUCACCAGCCUUCAAGACAAUGUAGGGUCCUUCCCAGUUUGCCUAGAGUUUCCCGACCCCCUUUUCAGUUGUAUUUUCAAAGAUUUUUUUGAGGACAAGUGUCUCGACCUUAAAGGCAUGGGGUUGGGCUUUCCGGUUGUAGUAGAAAGGAACUCUUUGUUGAUAGGAGGCCAUCCGGAUGGACGCACUUUCUCUUACUUCUUCUGCCCAGUCUAAGUGUUUUCUAAGUUUUUGACAUUCGUCCCUUUGACCCUACACGGCGGUUUGAGCUAUGGGCAUGCCUAUUUAUGUGGGGAUGACUGCAUUUAUCCCGUAUGCGAGAGUGAAAUGAGCAUUUCCUGUUGGUCUUCUAGGUGUUGUUUGAUAGGCCCACAGGACAUCGAGCAACUCUUCCACUCAUUUUCCUUUAGCUUUCUCCAGUCUUUUCUUCAAUGCGGAUAGCAAGGGUUUUUUCGUUGCUUCUGCUUGCCCGUUGCUUUGAGGAUACCAUGGCGUGGAGUAUAAGUUUUUGAGUUUCAACUCUGAACAAAAAGUUUUGAAUACGACGCUGUCAAAUUGCGGCCCAUUAUCAGCUAUAAUCGUUUGGGGAAUUCCGAACCGACAUAUGAUGUUCUUCCAAACAAAAUUUAUGAUGUCCUUGUCUUUGAUGUUAGCAUAAGCUUCUGUCUCUACCCAUUUUCUGAAGUAGUCAGUGGCCACAAGUAGGAAUUUCUUUUGAGCGAUUGCGACGGGCAGGGGCCCUACUAUGUUCAUCCCCCACUGCGCGAAUGGCCAAGGGCUCAUUAUUGGGUUGAGAACUUCGGAUAGCAUGCGUGGAAUGGGUGCAUGUCUUUGGCACCUAUCACAUUUCUUGACAUAGGCUUCCACAUAUUGCUUCAUGGUUGACCAAUAAUAUCCUUGCGAGUGGGUGCGGUGCGUUGGGGAUUGGCCCGUUCUGUGAUUGUCGCACACACCUUCAUGCAGCUCUACUAACACAUAUUAAGCUUUCAUACUGUCUAAGCACCUAAGGUACGAGCCCCCAAAAGAUCGCUUGUAGAGGCAAUCUCCGAUCAAGGUGAAACGAGCAGCUUGCAUCCGGGCCUUAUAUGCAUGUUCGCUAUCUUCUGGCAGGUAUCCUGUCCAAAGGUAGUUCUCAAUUUUGAGUGUCCACUUCAUUCUUCCUUCCCUAACGCUACAGACAGGUGUAACUGUGAUUAAGAAAGUGGGAUGGAGAUGGAUGGACAACAAUAUUGCCUCUCUCACGAGGAGUGUAGCAGCUACUCCUGCCAAGGCAUUGACUUGUAUGUUUUUUAUGCGGGGAACCCUCUUGAUAGCCCAUUCAUUCAACUGAUUCAAGGUAUCUCGUACUUUAGUUAUUUAUUAAGACAUGCGUUCAUCUUUGGCUUCGUACUCCCCUUGGAUAUGCCCAACAACGAGUUGAGAGUCACUGCAAAUUUCAAGCUUAGAGGCGGAAAGUGCAAGUGCAAGGUUCAAUCCAAACAGGAUGGCUUCAUAUUCGGCCUCACUAUUAGAUGUUGGAAACUAGAGUCGAAUGGCCUGCUCCAACUGCUCCCUAGUCGACGAUCGUAAAAGAAGGCCUACUCCUGACCCCAAGGACUGAGAGGCUUCAUCGAUGUGUAGGGUCCACCAUUCCUCUUUGCUUGGAUUUUUGAGUUGAGGGUUUGUUGGGGAACCUCCGCUAUGAAGUUAGUCAUGACUUAUCCUUUUAUGGACAACCUGAGCUGAUAUUCGAUUUCAUAUUUACUCAAUUCUAUGGCUCACUUUAGCAUCUUUCCUGAUGGAUCAGGCUUGUGCAAGAUACUUCUGAGAGGCUGGUUGGUGAGCACAACUAUUGGAUGAGCUUGGAAAUAGGGGUGGAGUUUUUUAGCAACGCUUCUCAAGGCUAAAGUCAUUUGCUCCAUAUUCGAGUAUCUGGUUUUCGCAUCGGCCAUCACUUUGCUAAUGUGGUAGACGGGUCUUUGCUUUUUAUCUAAUAUGCAACGAAAUAAAACAGCACUGAUCGCCCAGUUGGAAACUGCUAAGUACAUGUACAACCGUUCUCCGAGAUGAGUGCUACUCAAAAUGGGUGGUUGCGUGAGAUAAUGCUUGAUUUCUUCAAAUGUAGACUGCCAGUCUUCCGUCCAUCCCAUCGUGUUGGCACCCUUCAACACCAGGAAGAAAGACCUAAAUUUGUUCGUGAACUGGGCUAUGAAGCGCCCUAGCGCAACGAGUCUGUCGGUGAGGCGCUACAACUCCUUCUUGCUGCUAAGGACGGAUGUUUCCAUGACAACUUUGAUUUAAUCUGGGUUGACUUCUACCCCCCUUGAGUGACCAUAAACCCUAAGAACUUGCCUGCACUUACCCUAAAGGUGCAUUUGGAUGGAUUGAGUUUCAUGUCGUACUUUCUCAACAAGUGAAAGACUUCUUCUAAGUAUUGGUCAUGUUCGUCCUUGGUUUUUCUUUUAACCACGAUGUCAUCAAUAUAUACCUCCACCAUGUGCUCAAUUAGAGGCUUGUAGAUUUUAGUCAUCGACUUUUGGUAAGUGGCUCCAACGUUUUUAAGUCCAAACGACAUGACUUUGUAGCAAUAGAGUCCGUGUGGUGUUAUGAAGGCAGUUUUUUCUUCAUUUGUUGGGGACAUGGGAAUCUGAUGGUACUCGAAAAAGGCAUCCAAGAAAGAGAGAAUUUUAUGCCCGGCGGUGGAGUCCACUAUUUAGUUUAUCCGUGGUAGGGGAAAGUUGUCUUUGGGGCAUGCGUCGUUGAGGUUAGUGUAAUUGAUGCAGAAUCGCCAUUUCCUUAUCUUUUUGGGGACUACCACCACGUUUGCCAACUAGUCUAGAUACUCAACCUCCCUAAUAAAUUCGGCUACCAGUAACUUAACUAUCUCAUCUUGAAUGAUUCUUUGCUUUUCCGGUUGAAACCGUCGGACCUUCUGGCGGAUAGGUCUUGAUGAUGGUAGGAUGUUAAGUCGGUGGGAGGCAAUCGACGGGUGAAUUUCGGGCAUGUCAGAGUGUGUCCAUGCAAAAACAUCUUUGUUUUGCUAAAGUGUCGCUUCAAGGCACCUUGCCUCGUUUGGCUCUAAGAGGGAACUAGCAUAAGUAAAGUGACCAUAUUCCUUUGGGAUCUAAAUGGUCUGCAAGGGAUCAAUUACUAAGGAAUCCUUAUCUGCUGGGUACUGUAAUUGCUAUUGAUCGGGCACACUUGCUUGUUUGGGGGGAGGUCUGUGGUCACCACUGAGUCCGGUCUCCCGUACCACUUGGUAGCACUAUCGGGUUGCCAGUUAACUACCAUAGAGAUUGAUCUGCCCGUCUUCAGUGAGAUAACUCACCAUCUGAUGAUAUGUGGAAGGGAUGACUUUCAUACCAUGCAACCAGGCGCAUCCCAAUAUGGCAUUGAAUGGGGAUAGGUCCUUUACUACUGAGAACUGCACGUUAAGUGUAACAAGGCAGACUUGGACUGGUAAUACGAUGUCGCCUAGGGAUGUUGUAGAAGCCCCAUUGAAUCCUAACAAUAUCCGCCCAGGAUUUUCCAGAUUUGUGGGCACAAAUCCCAUUUUUUUUUAUCACGGAUACCUGUAAGAGGUCUGCUGAGCUACUCGAAUCGACCAAGAUUCAUCUCACAUCGAAGUCACUAAUUCCUAGUGUCAGGAUAAGGGCAUCUUGGUGCGGUCGUAAUAUACAGUUGGGGUCUAUUGGGGAAAAAGUGAUUAUCCCAUCUAUUGGGUGAACGCUCCCGCUAGUCAGUUCAAGCUGGAUGAAGCUAACUUAAUCCCGUACAGAGACGGCUCAAAGUAGCCUUUGUCUCUUUCAUUUGGAGUUGUAUUCUUCAUCGAGGGGUCUACCGUGGAUAUAGUUGAUCACGACCCUAGGAGCAAUUGAAGUUGUGAGGGUCGUGGUGGUCGAACUCUGGGGUGUCUCCCCACUUUUAACUUCUGAGCGGACGUAUUGUUUUAAGUGUCCAGUUUUUAUAAGUUUUUCCACCAAGUAGUGGAAACUCCUACAUUGCUUCGUAGUAUGCCCGUGUUCUUUGUGGUAGGCACAUUUUCUGUUGCGAUCUCUCUUGGUUGGGUCAGUUUUUAGGGGCUCAGGCCACCUAAAGUCGGACAACUUGCGAAUCAUAGGAAGGAGUUUCUCAUACGACACGUUAAGAAAUGUGAGAUUAAACUAGUCUAGCUGGCGGUGUUUGCCUUACCCCCUGCUUGGUUGCUUUCAUUGGCUCGUGGUUUUGAGAUUCCUAACCACGUCGUUCUUGGCUGAUUGGCUAGUGACUAAAAUCUAUUGUGUGGCUGCAUGGACAUCGUCUUCGAGCAUAGAAUAUUUGUUCGUCUGCUUGAAUAGAUCAUCCAUAGUCACAAAGGGCUUUUUAGCAAGGGACUCAAAGAAUAGCAUGCCCGGGCAGAUACUCCUCUUAAACAUUUUGAGGACAACGUUCAUGUUGUAGGAUUCUACCUGUAGCACAGCUUACCCGAAUCGUUUUGCAAAUUCUCUCAGUGAUUCAUUCUCCCUCAUUUUUAUGCUAUGCAAGGUGCUAAUAUUUUGCUUAUGUCGCGCUAAGCAUAGAUAUUGCCCCACGAAGGCCUCUAAUAGAUCCCGAAAAUUAUCAACGGAAUUCAUCGGAAUGCGGUGGAACCAUGAGAAAACCUUACCUUGGAGGCUGGCGGGAAAGACUUUGCAUAAUAGCGCUUCGUUCCCUAUGUCGAGGGUCAUGAGUUAUCUGUAGUGCAUGAUAUGGUCAAAUGAAUCGUUCGAUCUGUCGUACGCGGAGAAUUUUGACACGAUGAACCCUCUUAGGGGCUCGUAAUUGAUAAUGCGAGAGCUAAAGGGCGUGGAGAGCAUGUCAUCCAACUACUUGUUGAUAAAGCCGGGGAGGAGGGGCUCUACUUACCUCAUCCCCUCCGAUUUGUUGUAGUGGUGGGUAUGGAAGAUAGUCCGGUAUGAUGGGUGUAGUUGAAUGACUAGGAUGUGCCUCUUGGGUUGAGGUUGCAUGUGACUUCUCAGCAUCGGGUAUUUGUGGUCCCAACCUUGCGCGUAUCACAUCCGAUAACUGGGACUUCUUAUCGAGUCGUCGUUUUGAUGAGAUAUGAGUGGAGUUUGAGCUUUCAUCCUAUGACGCGUGAUAGGCUGAGAGGGGUCUUUCAUCAGGCCAUACACCGUGUAUGUCAAGUAAGGGCUCUAUGUUUCUAAGGUAUGUUGCCUCCUGGUUCUGCUUGGAGUUCAUUCGUUGGCUUCUCGGUUGCCAGUCACGGGGGGCCCUGAUGAAGACACCUGAAUCCUUAACAUGUCGUUCUCUUCCCUAAGCCUCCUUGUUUCUUGGAGGAGGGCCUGUAGUUGUCGCUCGCUUUCUUGCUAGCGUCGUUCCAUACUUUCAUGCUAGUCAAAGUAACCUUCAUCGCCCAUGGCUGAAGACCGACUUCUUGAGGGUGUGGACAUCUUUGUUUUUGUAGUUCCCACAGACGGUGUCAAUGUUGAUGCCAAGUCAACUGGAAAUAAUGCCUUUCCCUUAUUUCCUGCAAAAGUUGUCCGAACAGGUUGUCCGGACACACCCUCCAAAGCUCAAGUAAGAUGAUUUAAGCCAAUUUCAAAGGUUUCCCUCUUUUAGAAGCUAAGGAGUCUUCCUCCUCUGUGUGCGUGCGUGCGUACCUUCGUUUUGAGAUAGAAGGGGGUUUUUUAUAGUGUCUGGAACGUUGUCACAUAUGUGCUGAGAUGGCUUCUUGACUUUCAUAGUCAUGAUGACAACACAGUUGGUGACAAAGCAAUCAUCACCCUUUAGGCGGCUAAUAGAGAUUGCUAGUUGGGGUGACCUGAUGGUUCACUUGUCACUUCAGUCUGCAAGCAGUAUGGUGCAAUGUGUAGCAGGUCGCUUGCGGAGAUAGGGUGACGUCCCAUCGAGCAUGGUUCUGGCAUAGGGAGAAUGAUUGCUCGUGGGAGUGGGUUAGGAGACCUAUUCGGAGUGCAUUGCAUAGUUUUUAGAGGAACAUUGCAUAACUGGCUAUUGGUACUUCCAACCCAGAUUGGAUAUUUGGGUUUGGUUACAUUCGUCUGGACAAAGGUAUAAGGAUGACACGUGAAGCCAAGGUGGCCUGCCAAGUGGUCACACGGGGAAGCCCCUUACAGGUUUGUCCAAGUGGCAAAGAGGCCUUCUUUUAACUAAGCAAUGACCUUUCAUGUGGCGUGAUAAAAUCUGAAGUUAAAAGGCAUAAGACGUUAAAAUGCCAAAUUCGAAUGCUAUCCCGAAUUUCUGUUUAGGGUUGCUGAUCGCUUCGGAGGUUGCAAGUUGAUGCACGACUUGGGCUUGGGCUUUCUAUGGCCAUGCAACAUCAAGAAUGGCUUAGGGACUCCAACUAAAUGAAUAGGAGUGAUUAUUUUCACGGGAAUCCAACUAAAUAAACGAAAGUGCUUAUUUUCAUUUUUUAGAGCUUUAUUUUCUUAUCAAACUUAACAUCAUCUCAUUAGUGGUAAUUAAAUAGGUCUAACAGAGACGACCUUCAAUAUGAGAAAAGAAAAAUAAAUAGUAAAUCAACACCUUACUCUUAUAAAGACUAUAAGAAGGGCCCAUGCAAUACUGGUGCAAUUAACUUUUAAACUGUUUCUUAUCUUAAAAUUGAAUCUCAAAAUUGAUACAAUAAUAUCAAUAACAUAGUAUUUCUUAGUUAUAAAACUAAGAUUUUAUUUUAUUUUUUGUUUUAUUUAAGACUUUAAAGGCAUUUUUAAAGAUGUUUCCCUUUUAUGUCAUCAUUUUUUUUAAAUCAAUUUUAUCUCAAUUGACAAAGUAAAAGCAUUUUUUUUUUUUUUACUUUUAAUUUAACUGAAAAAGUGACUUUUUCUAUUUUAUCUUCUUAAUAUUUUAACUUUGUUAUAAUACUCAAAUCCAAUUUCUCAUGUAAAAUGAAAAAUAUUUUAAAUUUUUUGACAAUUCUUGACUUGAAGUUAACUCAAACUAUCCAAAUUUUAUGUUGUUUAAAUGAUAAAUGAAUUUAUCAUAAACUCAUGAAGUUCUGAUCAAGAAAAAAUUAUAUUUAAUUGAGUAAAGAAAGAAAUUGUUUGACGAUGAUAUUUCCUUGAUAUACCGAAUAUCAAUGCACCUCGACAUGAUAAACGAUGCAGAUAUAUCCUUAAUAAGAUAUUACAUUAUAGAAAAAUGUAUGUAGUUUCAUAGAUGACCCACUUAACUAUAUCAAUUAAUAAUUUCCUAAUAUGCAACUAAAUCCAUAAUGAUUUGUUUAGGAGAUCUUUGUAAAAUAUUUGCUUAAUGUUGCUAGUUUUUUUUUUGAAAUUGAUGUCAACUUGGAUCUCACCUUUAACUUUUCAUAAUGUGGAAAGAAGUUAUGAUCUGGCGUCUUUAUAUUUCAAUAAGAAAUUAUUCAAUGUCAUUAUCUUUUUAAGUACUUUGCGCGAGACUGGAUCCAUAGUAGAACUAUCAGCUUCAACUUUCUCUUCUCUACCAUUUCCCAUGAUGCUCUCUCAAUAAUCUGCCCAUCACUCAAAAUCUCUGAAGUUGUAUCAUUUUCUUUAGGGCAGAUUGAUAAGUACUUGACAUCCAUUCCAUUAAUUAGGGCAAUACAACUCUUUGAAGAUUAUUUCCAAUUCUUGAAUGCGCCAUUUAAGGAUUUAUCCAAAGUCUCUUAAAAAAUGUUAUAUAUGAGCCUAAUUUUGCUAUUUCAAACGCAAUUUGCAAUUGUAUUCGCUUGAAUAUCUAUUAUUCAAGUCGAAAUCACAAGAUUCAUGGCAUCUAAAACAUUUAUCUUUUUUAUUUUGAUUGCCUUACUUGAUAACUCUCUAAAAGAUUAUGAUAAAAUCAAUGGCAAUAAUGCAUCUUGAAAUCUCAUAUGAAUCCCGCAUCACAAGGCCGAUUCUUUGAUGUUGAGUUGGGUGGAAAAAAAACAACUCCAUAUUUUUCAAUCCUUCAUUUUUUUUUUUUUUAUCAAGACAUUAUUGACAAGCAAGAGAACUUUGCUACCAUCCAUAUUUUUCUAUCAUAUCAUUAAACAUAUUCUUGAAAUAACGCCUUAAUCAUCCAUGCUGGCUUGUUGGCGUGAUACUCAAUUCAUACUUUGCAAAUUUACAUUUUUGAAACACUAAGGUUUAGCAUACUUCCAAAUAAUCCAUAAAGGAAUUUUCCUAAACCAUCCUCAAUACAACAAAUAACAAUUGUAAGUCUUUCCUUGUCUUAUUUUUUCCUUCCAAAUUGUUUUGUUGUAAGAGAAUGAUCUUGUUGUAGCCUAUAAAAUAAUCAUGUUUCCUCCAUAAUAAAAACAUCUUUCAUUGAAAAUUAAUAUAAUUUCUCCCUUAUGGAUUGCAACUUGUUCUUCAUGUCCUUUGCCCUCCAUAUAAACUAAUCCACUUUUUCCGAAACAAUGAUAUGUUUCGAUACCAUAUCUUGAUUUGAAAAGCUCAAACCAACUUUAAGAAAUUGAAUCGUGAAGUAUCUACAAGAUAUAGUUUUCUCAGAAAAUCUUGUCUUAUUUAUGAUUAGUUUUCUUGUCGUAUUUAGACAUUCUGUAUAAAACAAUGCACUUAUAGAAACUCUUCUCUAAGUCAGGGAAUUUUGCGUCUUUGUGUUAAUUAAUAUUAUUUUCAAGAUCAAUUGAGAGAUAUUCCAAAGACUGCUUGAUCAUAUUUGAUAUUGUCCCUUAACUCGCUUGCAAGUUAGGCUUUUGUGAAAUCCAUUGUUGCAAUUGUUUGAGUGCAAGUUGGAUUUUGUUUUUUGUACUUGCACAAUGUGGCACACAUUUCAUGAGUCAUUGUUGCUUUCUUUACAGCUUUGAUAUGGGAAGCCAUUUUAGUUAAAUGUUCAUAAAAUAGAAUAAUGUGGUAAAUUGAAUAAUGUAAUACAAUAGUUUUGAAAAAAAAAAAAAUACUUUUUUGAAAACAUAAGUAAUUCAUGAAUUUUGCUUGUUUAAAUAAAUACAUGAAAUAGUUAGUUUGUAAAACAAAAUAUUUAAUUCGCUUAAUUACAAUAAAAAGAUAUUACUUGUAAUAUUUUAGAAAAAUGAGGAAUAUAUUGAUAAAUUAAUAAUCUAUUAACUAAUUGAUAAAUAAAAAAAUUAUUAAUUUGUCAAUUAAUUAAUAUUCACUUAAUUAAUAGAUUUUCCUUGGUCCCAAGGAUAUUAAUUUAUAGAGGUUUAACCUAAUGUAGUAACAAUCAUUUUUACUUAAAUUCUACAAAAAAAAAAAAAAAAAAAAAAAAAAAACCCAGAAGGAAAGAAAAUGAUCUACACCUAUCUAGAUUUUAGGCUUUAAGACAAUGUUUAGUAUAUGGGAAUAACGAAUGAAAAUAAAUAUUUUAAAUACAUUUUGGAAUGCAAUAUUGAAUUAAAUAUUUGUUUUCAUUUCAAUGUUAGGCAAUAAAGGGAAUAUGAAUGGAAAAAGAGAUAAAUUAACAAUAAUAUCCUUACAUAUAGUUUAAAAUAAUUUAUUUUUUUCAUUUAAAAAAAAAUCUCACACUAUACAUAGUUUUAAAAAAUAUAUUUGAGAUUUUUUUUUCUAAAUAAUAAAAGUCCAUUUAGCCAUAUGAUUUAAAAAUAAUGUUAUGCUUUUAAAAACAAUUUUUUUUAAAAAAAAAAUUGUAGUAUUAUUUGGUUGUUGUUCUCUAAGAAUAAUUUUUAAAAACAAAGAGAAAUAGAGAACUAUUUUUUUUAUACUAGAGAAAUAAAUUUCAAAUCAAACAUAUUGAAUUUCUUAACGAGUUAAAUAAUUUUAAAAAGUAAUUUGAAACUCUAUAUAUAUAUUACACGUUUUAAGUCAUAAUUUAUUAUUUAUUAUUUAUUAGUUCUCCACACAACUAGAUUUUUUUUAAAAAAAACAUAUCUUUUGGAGUUUUUUUUUCCUUUUGCUAAAUAAUAAAAGUUCAGUUGGUGGUGUGAUUUAAAAAAUAAAUAAAUAAAAAUUAUUUUAAAAAAUUAAUAGCAUUGUUUGGUUGUUAUUUUUUAAAAACAAAAUGAAAUAGAAAAUUGUUUUUUCGAUUUUUUGUUUCACUCUAGAAACCGAAUUCCAAAUCAAUAGUAUUGAAUUUAUUAAUAAGUUUAAUAAUUUUUAAAAAUAAUUUGAAACUAAUAUAUAUAUAUAUAUAUAUAUAUAUAUAUAUAUAUAUAAUUACUGUAAAAAAUAAUAUACCAAAACUAAUAAGUUAUGAGUCAUGAUUUAUUAGUUAUCCUAUACACACAACUAUAUCUUUUGAAUUUUCUUAUUAGUUAAAUAAACUUUAAAUUAAAUACAACAUAAUUAAUAUUUUAAAUUCUUUGAUGACUCUUUUUAUUUUUUAGAAUAAUUUGAAAUUCAAAAAAUUGAUUAAUUAAUUAUAGAUUAAAUAAAAAAUUUCAAAAUACUUCACUCGUAAUUGAGUACUAAAUAUAUACAUAUAUGUAAUGAAAAACUUGACUUAUUUAUAUCAUAAAAAAUUAAACUUUAUUGGUUUUUAAAUUCAUUUAAAAUAAAAUAGUAUUAAGUAUUAACAAUUAUUAAUUUAGAAUUAUUAUUACGUAUUUUUAACAAAAUAAAUCAAUUAUGCUUAUGAGAAUGUUAAUAUAUCCAUAUUUUUAUAAUAUUUAUAAAAAAUAAAAUUUAUGAUUUAAUUAUUUGUAAUUAAAAAAAUUAUUUGCAAUAAGACUUGAAUUAAAUUUAGUUUAUGUUAUAUAAAUUUAAUUUAUAAUUUUUGUUUUACAAAAUCAAAAUAAAAAAUUAUUUUUAAAAACUUAUCUAAACAUGAUGUUGCUUUUUUAUUUUUUGAAAAAGUGUUAUUAAAAAAUAACUUAUAGAAAGGAAAUCAAAAUACUCAUUAAAGAUUAUUUGAAAUCUCACAUAAGUGAUCCUUUUUUCAUUAGAAUAAUUUUUUAUUCUAUUUCCAUCAUCACUUGAGUUACGCAAACAUGAGAAUAAAUGAGAAAGUAAAUGAGAUAUUCGUUUUCACUCCUCAUUCCAAUGUACCCGGUAAUACUGAUUGACCAACUUUCUUGGCUUAAAAAUGUGAUAGGUGGUGAUUUUAUCGUUGCUAUGAGAUUAUAUACUCUUCUAGUCUUCACCUUUAUAGAUUUCAAAUGGAAUAAUUGUCUCAGAGACGCACGUAAAGAAGCCCUCGCCUACAUAAUCAAAAGAAAAGAGGCCUCUCCCAAGCCUCUUCCAGCUUAAAUGAAGAUAAAAGGAUAGAAGAAAUUAGGUUUUGUUUGGCUUUUUGUUCUCCAGAACCGCAACUACAAAUUGUCCUCUUUUCUAUUCUUAAGAAUAAAAAAUAUAUUGUUUUUAAAUAACAUUUUUUAAUUAAUUUACAUUUUUUCACCUGUUUUUUUAAUAUUGCUUUAAAAAAAUAAUUAUACAAACAUAUAAAAUAAUUUAAAAUAAAACACAAGACAUAAAAAUUAUUUUACAAAACAUCAUAAAACUGUUUUCAAAAAUUAUUUUUAAGAUCUGUUUUAAAAAUCAGUUACCAAACAUAUCCUCCCAUGAAUUUAAUUAAAGAUGGGAUAAAGCAUACUUUAAAAAGUCUCUGUUGUUGCAAUUUUGCCAAUUAUAUUGUUAUACUUUGACCUCUAGACCCGAGUAUUUAAUUGGCAAAAUAUAAUGAAGAGGUACACGAGGAUUAAUAAAAACCAACUUAAUAUAUACUAAUUAAUUUACUUUUCAAUAUCCUCAAGUAGGCCUUCAACUUCAACUUUAUAAAAUUCCGAAGAACAAGACAAUCAGCACCAACAAGGCUUUCUUUGUGGGAAAGAGAGGUGGAUCCUUAUCAAAUCUACAUUGGACCCCAUUUGAUAUCCACUGAUAAUGUCGCCAAACCUCACUGACAUUUGAUUAAUAAAGAUAAAAGAUAAAAUCAGAUAAUGACAAAUCUUGUUACUAGCAAUAUGUAGGGGAGACAAGCACUACAGAGGGUCUCUACAAUUCAACUAACUUAAGUAAUUAAAUUAAAUUAAAUUUAGUAUUUAAAUCUAAAAUAAUAUCAAACUUUUCACUUAAAACUAUGUAGAUGUUGAAUCUCAUUAAAAUAGAAUUUCUUUUAAAAUAAAAAUAUUUUAUUUUUAGUUAUUUAAUAUAAUAAACUUAAAAUUCCAAUUAAACUCUACUUAAAUUUAUUUAUAAGAACUAAUUUUCAUUGAACGGUUAAUUAAAAAUUUAAAAUCAUGAUUAUAUUUCUUUACAGGAUUUAUAUAAGAAAAUAAAAAUGAUGAUAAAAUAAAUUAAGUAAUACAUUACUUUUAUUUACCAUAAACUAUUUAUGUUAUGCAACUUUUACUCUAUAAUUCAUUUUUAUUGAAACCCUUAUUAUAUAUUAGUUAAAAAAAUACCCAUUAUAAAAAAGAAAAAAAAAGUGAAAUAAAAAUUAGAAAGAAAAAUAGAAGGAAAGAAAAUAGCUAAUAUAAUUUUGUUUUGUUUCCCAUCCAUAAAAAUUUUGAGAGAAAUAAUUUAAAUUAAUUAAGAUAAAAGACAUAGUAGCAAAUGUGUUAGAUUUAUGAGAAUUAUACUCGGUCUUUUUAAAUUAAAAUUCAACAUCUUUUUAAAAAUAGCCUUUGUUAUAUAAAAUAAAAAUAGAAUUACAAAAUAAAGACCUUUUUAAAUUAAUUAUGUUCUUAUAAUUAAAAAUUUGAAGUUUGGACAAAGUACUCAAUAAAAUUUUGGGGCCCGUUUGAAUAUAUUUUAUAAAACUUACUUUUAAAACCCAUGUUUAAAUUAAAGAAUAAAAAAACAGUUUUCGAGUAUUUUAUAAAAAUAAAGGUGUUUAUCAAGUUGUUUAUAAAACUAAAAAACAAAAAACUUGUUUGAAUAAUUUUUUUUUUAAAUAAUUUUUUGGUUUUGUAAAAACAUUGCAAAUUCAAUUUAUAUAAUAUAAAAUUCAAGUCUUAUUAAAGAAAUGAAAAUAUUUUUUUAAUUACAAAUAAAUUAAAAAAAUAAAUAGUUUUUAAACAAAUAUGAAUAAUAAUACUAUAAAAAACAAUAAAUUUAUUUUUUUGUAAAAAAAAAAACUAUUUUAGUAUAUGUUAGAAACAUAAGAAUAUUAAAAUCAUAAUUUUUUUUUGGUUAAAAUGAAUAAUAAUAAUUUUUAAAAAUAUUUUAUUUAAAAUAAAUAAUGAAGAAAGUUUAACUUUUUUAACAUGUAAAUGAGUCUAGUUUUUCAUUUUAUGUACACACUUCGUAUUGAAUUACAAACAUAAUAUUCUAACAUGUUUUAAUUUAAUUUACAAUUAAAAAUUAUUCUUAAAAAUUAAAAAAUUCAUUAAAGAAUUUAAAUUAUUAAUCAUGUCUUACAUAAUUUAUAAUUUAUUUAACAAAAUUCAAUAUAUAUAUAUAUAUAUAUUUGUUCAUAGGAGAAACAAUAAAGUCAUGACUCAUAAUAUAUCAGUUUUGAUUCAUUAUUUUUUUAAUGAUUAACUCUAUUUUUUGAGUUCAAAUUAUUUUUAAAAAUUAUUAAACUUAUUAAUAAAUUUAAUACAAAGUGUCAUUUGAUUUCAAGUUCAUUUUUAUAGUGAGGAAAUUUAUAAAAAUAUAAUUAUGUGCAGAAAAAUAAUAAUAGAGUUAUUAUGAAUCAAUUUUUAUCCAUAAAUUUAUGGUAUUAAUGAGUUUGUUAUUUAUGUUUCAAAUUAUUUUUAAAAAUUACUAAAAUUAUAAAUGAAUUCAACAUAUUAAGUUUGGUUUAAUUUGAAACUUAUUUGUUUGGUUCGAAAAAAAAAAAAAUUAGACCAAUUGUGUCCAUAAAUUUUUGGUAUUGAUUAAUUCAAUAGAGACAUUUAAAUCAAUUAGUUCAUUUAGACCAGUUUGUGGGGGUUUCCCAUGUAAAAAUCAUGUGUCUCAUUGUUUAUAUAUUUUAUAUUUUAUAUUAUAUUUUAAUUGCCUAAAAUAAGUUAAAUUGAUUAUCCCUAUAGUCUUGCGGGGUUUUCCUAAAAGGUUCAUAUCUAUUUAUCCCUACCUAUAUUUUAUUUGAUUAGUUUAAUUGAUUUGUUGGGAUUGAUAUUGAGGUUGUUAGGGUAGUUAUCUUUGUAGUUGUGGUGAUUAUUCCUAUAACUAAUUAUUGUUAUUUUUAACAUCUCUCAAAUAUCUUUUGGAUAUUAAUAGUUGAUUUUUUUUUUUAUCCCUAAAUAUUCUUUGGAUAUCAACUAACCAUAAAAUUAAAGUUUUUAUUAGUUAAGAUUUGGGAAGAACUCCCUUUUGGAUAUCCUAAAUAUCCUUACAAUAUCUUGGGAUUUGAAAUAUUGGUUAUAAUUUAUAAAUAUUGAUUUAAAUUUUUAAAUCACCCAUUCACCCCCUCUAGGUGUUCCUUAUUGGACUUUCAAUAGCUAUAUUAAUGGUGUUCAAAGCAAUACCCAUUUUUCAAUUGGUAUCAGAGUGGGAUAAAAAACUAAUUCUUUGUCAUAUUGAUUAAAAAACAAAUUUUCAUUGCUUAUAUUGUAUAAAAAUCAAUUUAUUUAUUUUUUGCUUAUAUUGUUUAAAUAUCAAAAUUUUAUUAAUCAUAUAGAAUAAAAUUCAUUUUUUUAUUGAUUCUGUAAGUCUGAUAUGGAACAAUCCACCCUAUUUCAAUGGGAAUAAUUAUUCUCAUUGGAAAGUAUGUAUGAUGUUUUUCCCUACAAUGCAAGGCGAAAGGGUAUGAAAUUCAAUUGAAUAUGAAAGAGGGUAUGUUUUUCCUUAAUGCUCAAGGAAGAUCAACAAGAGAACUUAAGCCUAAACAUAAAUGGGACAAAGCUGUUAAUCAAGGUAUGAAGCAAAUGCUGAGCUUUAUUUAGUAUUUUUAAUAGAGUUUGUCCAGAUUUCUAAAUUAAAAAUGCUUGCUACUAGGUUUGAGAAUAUUAAGAUGCAUGAAAAUCAAACUUUUUCUUUCUUUUAUUAUAAAUUGAUUGAUAUUAUAAAUUCUUCAUUUAACCUUGGAAAACCUAGUCUAGAUUCUAAGCUAGUUAUGGUAAUAUUGAGAUAUCUUCAAGAGAGAUUUAGACCUCAAGUAACUGCCAUAGAGGAGAGUAAGGACAUCAAUUCCAUGAGAGUUGAUGAACUUGUAGGCUCUAUUCAAACAUAAGAGAUAGCCCUAUGUAGUUCCCAAAAGCUUAAAGACUUUGCCUUUAAGGCAUAUGAGGAUAAAGAAAAAAUAUUGGAAUACCAUACAAUAUAACUAGUGAUGAAUUGGCCCACAUAGCCAAAAGGAUUAAAAGGGUCAUGAAAUUCAAUAAAAGGUUCUACAAGAACUAAGAAUCUAGAAAAGGAAAAGGUUCCUCCAAAGGUAAGAAUUUUAAUGCUUUAACUAUGGAGGUCUAGGACACCAUGCUCAAGUUUGUCUUAGCCCCAAAAAUAUAAAAAAGUCUAUGUAGGCAACAUGGAGUGAUUCAGACUUUGAAGAAGUGUUUUUCAUAGCUUUUGAAGAUGUAAGGUAUGAUUCCAAUGACAUGUUAACUUUUGUUGCAUCUAUGGAACUUGUGAAUGAUAUUGAUUAUGAUAGUGAUAGUAAUGAUGAUGAAUUUAUUGAUGAAAAAAGGCCUGAAUUUUUUAAUUAUCUUGUUGUUGAGCAUGAAAGAUUAAUUAAGAGUUAUAUGAAAAAUAAUGAUGUUCUUGAAGCUCAUAAAAACAAGAUUGAUGCGCUUAAUGAUGAAAAGAUUAAUUUGCUUGAGAAAGUUCUAAGCAUCAUUCUUUCCUUGAGAAGAAUAAUGCCUUCAUUUAAGGGAUCAAGAAUAAUAAGCCUUCUUCAUCUGUGAAUGAAAAUUUUCACCUUGGAAUUAAAGUGCUUAAUGAAAUUAUUGACAAAUGCAAAACUCAUGGUGAUAAAAGAGGUUUGGGGUACAUUAACAAAGAUUAGAGUCCCUUUAAAGGAGAAAUUGUGUUUGUUAAAGGUAAGAAUGAUACCCCUAACCAAGCAAAAUCUCCUAAAAAGACAUGAAUAUGCACAAACUGUAAGAAAAUAGGACAUUCUGAAUUUAGAUGCUACACUAGGUUUCUUGAAAGGUUUGAAACUCAAUUGAAAAGACUUAUGAAUUACUUUAAUUCCCUUAAAAAUAACAUCUUGAAUAAUAGGAAAUGGAAUUAAACCAAUUAGAAACCUAAAAGUCAAGCUAGUUCCUCUAAGUCACUACCUAAGACUAAACAAAUUUAGUUGAUAAAGGAUAGGUCUAAUUGUCAAGUUUUAUUCAAUACUCUUAAAGCUAAAUCUUCUAGUGAGUGGUACCUUGAUAGUGGUUACUCUAGACACAUGAUAGGAGAUAAAUCCUCUUUACUUCUCUUGAAAACUAUGAUGGUGGGGUUGUUACUUUUGGAGAUGGAAGCCUAGCUUGAAUGAAAAGCAAUGGUAGUAUAGUUAUCCCCAGUUGUCCCAAACUAGAUAGUUGAAGGACUCAAAACAAACCUCUUAAGCAUUAGUCAAAUGUGUGACAAAGACCAUAAGGUAAAUUUUCACUAAGACUUAUACGAAGUAGUCAAUAAAGAGGGAAAAGUAGUCAUCACAUGACAUAGGACUAUGGAUAAUUGUUAGGAUAUAAAUCCUAACUUUAGAACACCUCUUAUUUGUAGUAGGGCAAAGCUUGAUUCUAAUAAGUUAUGGCAUAGAAGGCUAGGUCACAUAAACUAUAUGAACCUUGUGCAUUUAGUGAAUAAUGAAAAUUUUAGAGGUAUCCUUAGACUUAGUGAUGAACCUAAGCCCAUUUGUGGUGAGUGCAUGAAAGGCAAACAAACUAAGAGUUCACACAAAAAGGUCAAGGAGAUAAGGACCACUAGACCUUUAAACCUUCAUCACAUGGAUCUUAUGGGUCUAAUGAAAAAUAAAAGUAGAGGUGGCAAGAGAUAUGUCAUUGUAGUUGUAGUUGAUUAUUUGAGAUACUCCAUUGUGUUCUAAGGGAGAAAUCAGAGGUCAUAGAGCAUUUGAAGUUAUUAUUUAAUAGAAUACAAGUGGAAAUUGAUCAUCCAAUUGUAAGGAUUAGGAGUGAUGGAGGGAGAGAGUUCGAUAAUGUGGAUAUUGAUUUUUUUUGUGAGCCUAAUGGAAUUAAACACGAGUUUUCAACCCCUAGAACUCCUCAACAAAAUGAAGUAGCUAAAAGAAAGAAUAGAGUGCUACAAGAGAUAGGUAGGGUAAUGGUUGAUAUACAUGAUACAUUUAUGCAAUUUUAGGCAGAAGUUAUUAAUACUAUAUGUUAUACUGCCAAUAAGAUUUUUCUUAGGCUAGGAACAAAGAAGUCAUCUAUGAAUUAUGGACUAGGAGAAAACCUAACCUUGAGUAUUUUCGAACUUUUGGUAAGGAGUGUUAUAUACUCAAUGAUGGGAAGAACCUUGGUAAAUUUGAUGCCAAAUAUAAUUUAGGAAUUUUCUUAGGCUAUUCUAGUUCUAGUAAAGCCUAUAAGGUAUAUAAUCAAAAUUCACAAGUCCUCCAAGAUGAUCGGGAUAUAAUUGAUAAUUAAAUUUUAACCUAGGAAUCAAAUGGGGAUAACACUAAAGACUUGGAGACUACAAAAGACAACCCUAAUGUUAUCCCUAAAAGAAACAUUGACCCUAACAAUGAUUAAGUUGUACCUCUAGAUGACACUUCUAAAGAAAUAAGAUAUAAACAUAGAUCUAAAAUACCUAAGAACCACCCAAUCUGAAGUGUUAUAGGAAAUGUUAAUUAACAAGUGUUUACUAGGAGACAAUCAAGAUUAAAUGAGAUGGGUCUUGUAUGGUUAUACCUCCCAAUUUGAGCCAAAGAAUGUGGAGGAAGCUUGAGGAGAUGAAUCUUGGACUACUGCACUCCAAGAAGAGUUAGAUCAAUUUACUAGGAAUGAUGUGUGGUAUUUAAUCUCUAGGCCUAAAGAUAAAUAUGUCAUAGGUACAAAAUGGAUAUUCAAGAACAAACAAGAUGAAAAGGGGUUCAUUGUGAGAAACAAAGGAAGACUAGUUGCCCGAGGAUACUCACAAAUUGAGGAGAUUGAUCGAAGAGACAUUUUCACCCAUAGCUAGAUUAAAAUCAAUUAGGAUACUUUUGGUAAUAGCAUGCUCCUUGAGGAUAAAGCUUUACCAAAUGGAUGUCAAUGGUGCAUUUCUAAAUGGGGUACUUCUAAGUAAAGACGUUUAUGUUGACCAACCUAAGAGAUUUGAGGAUCCGAAAUUCCCCAAUCAUAUCUAUAAGUUAAAGAAAUCGCUUUAUGGAUUAAAGCAAACUCCUAAAUCUUGGUAUGAGAGGCUCACAACGUAUCUUUUGGAAAAAAAGUUUGAAAGAUAGAGAGUUGAUAGAACCUUAUUUAUAUAUAGGUCUAAUGAUGAGUUGUUAGUAGCUUAGAUUUAUGUUGAUGAUUUAGUUUUUGGAGCUACAUUUAAUGACCUUGACCUUAGUUUUGCCAACGAAAUGAAGAUUGAAUUUGAAAUAAGCAUGGUAGGUGAAUUAACCUUCUUCCUAGGAUUGCAGAUUAGGGAACUAAAAGAUGAAAUUUUUUUUUCUCAAUCCAAGGAUGCUAGGGAAUUAGUUAAGAAAUUCAAUUUAGAAUCCUCUAAACACUCUAGAACACCUAUGAGCACUACCACCGAGCUUAGCAAGGAGGCAUCUAGAAAGGAUGUUAAGCAAAAGCUUUAUAGAAGUAUGAUAGGUAGCUUACUUUACCUCACUAUGAGUCGUCUUAAUAUAUUUUUUAGUGUUAAGAGCUUGAGCUAGGUAUCAAGUGAACCCCAAAAAGUCACACUUAAUGUAUGUUAAAAGAAUUAUUCGUUAUAUAAAUGGGACUCUUGAUUAUGGUUUGUAGUAUCCCUAUGAUUCUUCUUUUGUGAUUGUUGAAUAUUCCGAUGCUGAUUGGGUCGAAAAUGUUGAGAAUUAAAAAAAAGCAUAUUUGGUGCUUGCUUUUUUAUUGGUGAUUGUCUUGUGGCUUGGCCUAGUAAGAAACAAAACUUUAUAUCUUUAUCUACUACCAAAGCUCAGUUUAUUGUUGCUAAGAGCUGUUGUACACAACUCCUAUAGAUAAAGUAAAUACUUAAAGACUAUGGAAUUGAGCAAAGGACCAUGAACAUACACUAUGACAAAUCUAGUGCAAUAAAUAUCUCAAAGAAUAUUGUUCUUUAUUCCAAUACUAAACACAUUGAAAUUUGUCAUCAUUUCAUUAGGGAUUUUGUUGAAGAAAAGGUUGUUUCUUUAAAGUUUGUCCACAUUGAACAUCAAUUGGUAGAUAUUCUUACCAAACUCUUGGAAUCUCUUAGGUUUGAGUGCCUUAAGAAAUCUGUGGGCAUAUGCCUAAUAGAUUGAUCAUAAUUGAUAUAGGCUUCAAAGGUGUUGAGCUAAGUGUUGAUAUCUUGUUGUUUCCUUUAGCCAUAUUUUGCUUUGGCCAUAUGAUUUUUGUUUAAUUACUUGAUAUAUUAACAUGAUCUAUAAUACCUCGAGUUUGUGAGUUGGAGAAAUAUACUAUAUCAACAAGACUUGAGGUGAAUGAACUCAUAGAUACUUGUUAAUCACUAUUGAUGUAUUAGAUUCUUGAUAAUUAAAUGUCUUUAUAUGUGAGAAUUUUAAUAUUAGUUGCAUCAUGUACUUGAUCAAGAGGAAGAAUUCUUAAGUUGAACUCAUAAAGAAAACUUUGAUUACUUUGGAAGGAUCCAUUGUUAUGCUCAAAUAUUAUUAUCCACAUACCUUGUUUGACUAUGAUCAUUAUUUGUUUCCCAAAAUGAGUCAAUACAAAAUAUUGAAUCUUUGGUUAAGCAUAACUCUCGUACUCUUCUCCAAUUAUUCUCUUAAAGGCAUGUUGCUCACUUGUAACAUUUGGAAACAACCCCAAAGUGGAUAUAAAGGCAACCAUGAAUGAAUAUAAAAAGAAAAAUCAAUUGAUCAUGGUUUAUAAUGCCUCCACUUUCAAAAGAAAAAGAAAAAGAAAAUAAAACAAAAAGAUAUCAAAAUUUAAAGGGGAGUCAUGUUGUGUUUUACAUAGAUCAAUAAGGUUGUAUUAAAUAGAAAUUCAACAAUCUUAGUUCAAAUUGAUUGGAUAUGUUCUUUAAUUCGACCAAAGGCAUGACUGGAUUUCUUCUAAGUGAACAAUUUUGAAAUAUUAAACUAGAUAGUAAGUCGUAUUCCUUUAAACAUCAAUGCUUAUGUUUCUAUGUUGACUCUCUUAUACGUUGAUGGUUAUGCAUUAGGUUUUCAAAACUAAUAUUAUGAUUAACUCUAACCUAUGAACUUAAAACCUCAUUUUUUAUGGACUAAUGUGUACUAUCUGAAAUAACUUACUUAAGUUAUUAUUGAUCAAUCUAAUGUUGAGAGUUUAUAAAUUUAAUUAUUUGCUCUUUUUAGUUUAUUGUUAAAUUUUUUGUUUCAAUUGGUGUCUAUCAUUGUCUCUAAAUUAGUUAGUUGAGUUUUCUAUCCCUAUUAGAAUUGAAAUUAAGCUCUGACCACUCAAGAGCUGCAUCCAACACUCAAGCCUCAUCCAGUGGUUGUAUUGCUCAAACGUUCUAAGUUACAUCCAACGAGACAUCCAUCAAGUGUCUCACUUAAGUGUUAAUCUACAUCCAAUGGUACGUCUGGUUAUAAAAACCCAUCUAGCACACCUUUUUUUUACAUUUCAAACAUUUUUCUAUUCUUUCAAGCAUUAUGAGACUCUGUCUCUUUGACAUUUGAAAUUAGUUUUCUUCGUUUUUUGUGUUUUCAACUUUAUAGUAUUGUUCCACACUUCAUUUAGGACAUUUCUAGCGGUUUACAUUUUCUUCGUACUUUUCUAUCAUUCUACUAGUUAUGUCUAACCGUAGGUGUUAGCAAGAGGUGACUCCUCUUGGGUCACCUAAGCCCAUUCAUUGCAUUGCUCUUCAAGGUCUUUUUAUAUUGUUUCUUCUCUCAAUAGUCUCAUGAUCAUUUCUAUGCUUAUUUUUAGAGCUGUCAUAUUGAGGUUGAGCAUUAUAUCAACCUUUGUGCCUUUCAAGAUACUUUUAUUCCUAUCAUUCUCAGAGAAAGAGGGUGGGAUCCUUAUUUACUUUACAAGGUUCAUAUUAUCCUUUGUGAUUCGCAUGUUCUAUGUGAACAUGCAUACUUUUUCUUCAAGUUGCACCUUUUAGGUAGCCACAUUUGAUUAGUCCUUUCAAAUCACCUCAUUGUCAAUCUGUCGUGUACUUGACAUGCCUAGAAUUGAUGUGUCUUUCUUUCUUCCUUCCAAAGGUUCAAUUUUUUACUCUUAGAGAUCUCCUUUCGAUUCUCGUUUCUUUAUAUGGUGCUCCUCAUGAGUUUCCUACAUAUAUUCCUCAAGUUGGCUUUUCCAAGCUAUCUUGGAUUCUUGCUACUUUCCUUAUUUAUUAUUUCUACUCUUCUUCUCAUCAUACUGAGAUUCCCUAAUCGAUUGCUCGAUUCAUCUACAUCAUCCUUUCAAGCCAACAAUUUGAUAUUAGGCAGGUCAUUAUUGAUACCAUCAUCCUCUACCAUGAUUUUUUUUCUUUCGUCGCAAUGCACUUCCUUUUGGGCUCCUCAUCUCUAGAUUGUUAAAGUAUGUUGGCUUUGAGAUUGCUACCACAUAAAGGGUCUAAGCUACUCAUGCCUUGUGGAAUGAGAGUUUUUGGGCUAAGCACUACAAUUAUGUGUAUGGUCCCAUGGCUCUUCCUAUUCCCGAUGGCCCCAAGAUAUUGCACCACACAACAAGCUACUCAAGAGGCACUUGUAAAGAAGGACGAGAUCUGAGCCAUAGAGGGAGAUGCACCUGCACCAAACAUUGUUCUUAAGACUUGCUAUAGUCAAGGUCGUGCUCUUACAUCUAAAACUUCUCAUGGAUUAUCAACUUUCACAAACCCGACUACUUAGGAGAUGUAUCUCAUGACUAGAGUGCUUUAGAGCUUGGAAUCAUAGGAUAUUCAACUCCGUGAGAUCUAGGGUCUGUUGUCCUACAUUAUUUCAUGGAUCCAUGCUCAAAGCGGUUCGAGCUACUUCCUACCCCUGCCUCCUCCCGAUGCUUAGUUAUUUUGGUAUGUGAGUUUGUUGAUAUGGAUUCCUUGUAUUCAUUUCUUAUCUUAUGUAUCCAGAAUCAAUUUUUGUUACAUAUAUGUGUUGUUCAUUUUUCUUUUUGUCUUUGUGUGCUUUCUCAUGUUUAUAUUUUAAUUACUUUUCCAUUUUGUGACAAAAAAGGGAGAAUAUUGAAUAUUUAACCCACUUAAAAAUAAAAAGGGGGAGAACAUUGAGUAUUUAAUUCAUUUAAAAAGGAGGAGCUAUAAAUAAGGAGAGGUAAGGUGUUCAUAGAAACUCCUAAUUUAAGGAAAGGUAAUAAUUUUUAAUUUUAAAUUCUUUAUUUAAUUCAUUAAUUAAAGAUAUUAAUUGAAAUAUUAGAGGAAAAUAAACCUGAGACAUUAGAGUAAACCAAAUCAACCUUAGGAAGCACAAUUAGAUAGUUUAAAAAGAUACAUAACACAAAUGUUUCUUAAAAAAUAUUAUUGUUUGAAUUGUCUCUCUCUCUAUCAUAGAAGUUUCUUCCCAUGUUUUUCACUACCUAUUUUCUAAUUGGAGAUAAACCUCUAGGCAUCAUUGUUGAUCUAUUAAGCUUUGUUUUUUUUACUUUGAUGUCACUAAAGGAAUUUGUUCCUUUUUCAUGCUUUCAUAAGGCAUCAAGCAAAACCUCCAACAAUCCUAUUUUUCUUUCAUGAUAUUAUUUUAUUUUUCACACUGCUUUAUCUUUGAUAUAGUAUUUUGUAUGUGUGCAGGUUAUAGGGUUGAAAGAUAAGCACUACAAAGCAUUGCAAAGUAUUCCCUUAGUUUAAUUUUAAUUAAGCAUUAAUGUGUGUUAUGUGAACUCUUUUAUGUGAGUUCAGGUAAUGAUCUUUUGUCUCAAAAUUCCCAAAUGGACACUGAGUCUUAUUUAUGUUGGCAAUUUUUGUUCCAAUUAAUGUUUGGUCGCUACUACAAAAAACUAAUAUAAUGACGCUUAUUAAAAGCAUCAAUAUUUAAAGAAAAAAUGGGUUAAUAUUGGUGUUUUAGGAACAAUGGCGCUUUUUAAAUAUUAUAAUGACAUUUCUAUUACUUGGUGUCUAUUCCUUGGCACUUUUUAAGAGCGUCAUGGUAGGAGUUUGUGUUAUGAACAACCUUGACACUUGUUAGAAGAGCCAUUUUAUUUUCUCCUAUAUAAAUCCCUUGUUUCUUUAAAACCCUCAAACCCUGAUAGCCAUAAAAAAAUAAAUAAAUAAAUAAAACUUAGGGCACAUACCCAUAUUGGCAACCCACCACCAUUGCCAUGCAAGGCGACUCCCCUCCCAAUGCCUUUACCUUAUGCACCACUAUCUUCCUCUCUCUUGUCCUCCAUUCAUCAUGUCAUUUCUUCAAUUCCUCUUUCUAGUCCUCCAUUCAUCACGUCAUCUCUUCGAUUACCAAAGAAAUUGCAAGAUCUUGGUGGGACUGCUUCCAACGAGCUCGAUCUCACCAAGGCUACACAAUUGUAUCAUGAGAACACUGAAAAAAUGUCUCUUUUUUGUUUUUUUUUUGUUUUUUUUUUUAUUUUCAAUUUUUUUUUAGUUUUUGAUCUGGAGAAAACAUAAAUCAUUUCUAACUAGUGUUGAUUUUUUUUUUAAAUGUUAUUUAUCAUUAUUGUUUUUUUUUCUUGAACUUGAAUUUUUCCAAAAAAUCAUUUUUUUUCAGAUUUGUACGAGAGAACAAAUCAUUUUUUUUUGUUAUGAAAACACAAAUCGUUUUACAUUUUUUUAGUUUGCUUGAUUUGGGGAAAACAUAAAUCAUUUUUAAGCGGUAUUGAUUUGUUUUUUUUUUCUGUUAUUUAUCAUUAUCAUUAUUUUUAUUUUUUAUUUUUAACUUGAAUUUUUCCAAGAAAUCAUUUUUUGGAUCUGUUAUGGAGAACAUAUAUUAAUAACAAGAUAAGAUAACAAAAAAUGAUUGAGUUGCAUUUGGCAUCUUGUAAAGGAAUGAGGUGCUUUGCUCCUAUAAUAAAGAAAAGAGAUCAUGUUCUUUGCCCUAAGCCACCCAUCAGGCCCCUUCCAUGGCAUCUCUCAUAAUUUUUUAUUUUUUAUUUUAAUUUCUCCUUGUUUGUUUUAUUUAAUUAGGAAGAACCCAUUUUUAACUGGUUGAUUUAUAAGCAUCUACAGUAAGUUUUUAACUCAAAAUCAAGGCCUCGUCUUUUGGAGGCUCAAGCAUAAUGGAGAUAUUUUAGCCUUCGAAAUUUAGAAAAGAUUGAGAAUAAUAGUGAGUGCCUCAUUUGUUAAAUAAUAAAAGUUAUCCUUGGGAUAUCUUUACUUUUCUAGAUCACUUACAUAUUUUGCACAAUGCAACCUUAAAAUUUUUGGUUUAUUUGUUAUUUUAUACAAGAUAAUUUUAAAUUACAAGGUUGCAGGUGAGAAUGGUAUAACUAACCGGCUCUUGGAGUAGUUUCUCAUCUUAAAUUGCCUCAGGCACCACCAAUUACUACAGUGCUAUUACGAAUAGGAAAUAAAUUCCCAUUUUCAUUUGGUUAGGUAGGAUGCAAUGUUUAGUGGUCAUUAGUUUGAUUAUAGCAUAAACUAAUGCUUGUUAUGGUUUUAUUUCCUUGUUUUUGUUAUCCUUUACCUUGCUUACGUCAUCACUAAUGUAAAGAUCACAUGCUACUAUGGUUUGAGUAGAACAUCUUUCUUUCUUUUCACUAAUUUUUGCUACUCUAGUUGCAAUUUCUAUUUGACAUAGAAAAAUUUGUAGACAUGUAGUUUUUAUUGGUGGAAGUUUUGAGGAUUAAAAACACAAACUUUAUUUGACACGAUUAUUUAAACUAAAUAAUUAAGAUCAGUAAAUGCAUUUAAACUAAAAACAAAUUAAGACUAAACUAGAUAGAAUAAAAAACACAAACUUUAUUUGACACGAUUCAACUAAAGAAUUAAGAUCAACAAAUGCGUUUAAACUAAAAACAAAUUAAAAUUAAACUAACUGGAAUUAAAAAUACAAACUUUAUUUGGCACGAUUAUUUAAACUAAUGAAUUAAGACCAGUGAAUGCAUUUAAAAUAAAAACAAAUUAAGACUAAACUAAAUAGAAUAAAAAACACAAACUUUAUUUGACAUGAUCAUAUAAAUUAAAAUAAACUAGCAUGGAACUAAUGAACUACAAUCACAAAAGAAGACAUCUAAUUUAAAAAAAAAUAAAAAAAAUUGUACGAAUUGAGAUUCAAAAGAAUUUAUCGCAAAGAUUAAUUAAUGUAACGAACUAAAAUCUAAACUAAAAAAUGCUUAUAGAAAAUGAAAACUAACUUGUUUUGUGUCUAAAAAAAAUGCUCUCCUGAUGAUUAAAAUGGCAGCCCGAUCCACAUCUAAAGUCUCUUACUCUCCUCCAAAAUUCUUGCACAUGUUCUCUUAGAAAAAAAAAAAAAAUUAUGCCUGUUUCUUUUAAGAGUUCCGCCAGUGUCUGGCCUUCUUUAUCUUCUCUAGGGAGAGAGUUCAACCUUAUUACCCAUAAGAAGUGGUUGCCACUAUUGAUCAAGCCAUACCAAAAUUUAGUGAGCUCAUCCUUUUUUUUAUGACCAUGAGGCUUUCAAAGCUUACAUAGAUAACAGAUUUUAACGUUUGGCGGUGAUGCCACGCUAUGCAGCUUUUGUCUUCUUCCCAUAAACUAUUGGAAGAUUGUGACAUAGUUGUUUCAGAUGCAAGCCUGGAUUUCAGGUGUUCAUGAAGAGGUUUGAUGGCAUAGGUUUUGGGUUAAUGAUUGCAUAUUUGGGAGAGGAUAGAUCAUUCUAGAUCUUCAAAUGUGUUGAUUAUGAGACCGUUGGUUCGUGCUGUUUGUGGAAACUCUUGCAAGACAAAUUGGAAAUAUGGGUCAUCCACGUUAUUGGCCCAAAAAAAACUAGGUAGGUCACGUCGUCGGAGAAAUCUUUCCAUUGUAGGGAAACUUGUUACUAGCCAAUUCAGAUCAUCAUCUUUUAAGGGGAAUUCACCAGCUUCAAUGAGUUGAUCUAAAGAGAAAUAUGCUCAGAAGGAACAAGCACUUGCAGUAUGGAAAAGAAUAAUGGGAACUCUCACUUCGUCAACAACAUCAAUAGCAAAAGUUAAGAUCCCAUCUGCUAUGAUGCAGGUCACUGGUUGGCAGGUUUUAGAACUCUGACAUCACUAAAUCAUCUUCUCCCUAAAAGGUGGUUUGGUUGUAGUUCUAAGUCCGUCGAAGCUAUCCUUGUGAUCGGUGUGCGGGUACUCCAUCGGAAGCCCAUUAUUAUUUCAAAACGGAAACCGAGAUAGCGGGUGAAUCUGUCUAGAAUACUACUGGAGUAAUAGAGAAGGCAGUGGUAAUUAGAAUUGGAAUUAAGGAAGGUGACUUGGAAUUGAAAUUAAUGCUGCCAAGGGUCACAAUGAGGUUAGAUAAAUUUCUCGAUCAAAGUUUCCAAGGUGGUUCUAAAAAGGGUAAGUAGUAUGAGUAACAAUAGACCACUAAGGAACUACUAUGGAGCACUAGAAGUGAACUUAAAGACAUGUGCUAAAGGGACAAAAUUAAGGGUCUACAAAUAUGCCUUUCUUUGGUAUAGAUCACAAGUAUAGAGAAUGUGAGUAAAAAUACGAAUAGUGAACGAAACGAAGUGAACUAUACUGAAGAGCUAUAGAAAGACUAGAAAUUUUGUCCUAGCUCAUGAAGAGGUAGGGUCAAAAGAUUGGGUUGCAAUCACAAAAAUGGAACAACUCUUGUCAUUAGCUCAAGGCUUUACAAGGAAAGAAUGACUCUGGGCCAUGGAUGAUGUGAACAACUCUAGGUCAAGGGCACGAGACCCUAAAUAUUUAGGAUGACUCUAGGUCACAUAUGAAAUAAAGGACUCUAGGUUGGGAACUCUAAGCUUUAGAUAUUAUGAAUGACUUUGGGUUGAAAGCUCGAGGCUUUAAUGCUAAGAACGACUCUAGGUCACAAAUAAGAAGGACGACUCUAGGUCAUGAGCUCAAGGCUCUAAAUGGGAAGAAUGACUCUAGGUCAUAAAUAAGAAGAACAACUCUAGGUCGUGAGCUUAGGGCUCUAAAUGGAAAGAAUGACUCUAGGUCAUAAAUAAGAAGAACAACUCUAGGUCGUGAGAUUAGGGCUCUAAAUGAAAAGAAUUACUUUGGGUCAUAAAUAAGAAGAACGAUUCUAGGUUGUGAGCUUAGGGCUCUAAAUGGAAAUAAUGACUCUGGAUCAUAAAUAAGAAGAACAACUCUGGGUCAUGAGCUCAAGGCUCUAAAUGAAAAGAAUGACUCUGGGUCAUAAAUAAGAAGAAUGACUCUAGGUUGUGAGCUUAGGGCUCUAAAUGGAAAGAAUGAAUCUAGGUCAUAAAUAAGAAGAAUGACUCUAGGUCGUGAGCUCAAGGCUCUAAAUAGAAAGAAUGACUCUGGGUCAUAAAUAAGAAGAACAACUCUAGGUCGUGAGCUUAGGGCUCUAAAUGGAUAGCCGAUUAGGAUGCUUUCCAGCUCAUGGUGUUGGGUCAAGGCCACUCGCAAGUGGCUAGAAUGAUGAAAAUGAAACAUCUUAGGGAUGUAAAGGAAGUAAACGACUCUAGGUCGUGAGCCUAGGGCUCGGUAUGCUACGAAUGACUCUGGGUCAUGAUGCAAUGAGUAACUCAGGGUUAUGAUGAAUAGCUCAAGGCUAUGGAUGGAAUUAAUGACUCUAGGUCAUGAUGCAAUGAGUAACUCAGGGUUACGAUGAAUAACUCAAGGCUAUGGAUGGAAUGAAUGACUCUGGGUGAUGAUGCAGUGAGUAACUCAGGGUUACGAUGAAUAGCUCAGGGUUAUGAGCUUCGAGCUCUAUGACUGAUCGGCUAGAAGAAGAGUGCAAUAUGCAAACUUCAGGUUAAACCACUCAUGGGCAACCAAAUGAUGAAGGCUCAGCUCAGGGCUGGAAAGACUCCGGGUCUUAAGGAAAUGAUAGCUCAAGGCUACCAGGCUUAGGGCCUAGAAAGAACGGAUAGCUCAGGGCCUAUAAGACUCAAGAUCUAUAAGGAAUGGCUAGCUCUGAGCUAGGAGACUUAGGGCCUAAAAAGAGAUGGAUAUCUCAAGGCUAAAGAUAAACGGGUAGCUCAAGGCUACGAGGUUUAGGGCUUAGAAGAAACAAAUAAAGAAGACCAACUUGAAAGUGGAUAGGAAGUAAAUGGGCUCAAAGCUGUAUACUCAAAAUGCUAAGGGUCGAACUACUGAACUUAGGAAGGGAAAUAUGCCCUAGUAUCUAAGGUGUUCGCACUACUGAAACAUCCAAUAAAUUAAUCAUCCGUUGAAAUCAAUGGGUCAAGAACCAAUACAUCAUGACAGACCUCUGAAAAUCUAGACUGAAAUAAGUCUCUAUGUUUGAAAAGUUGCUCUAUCAACAAAUCUCAAAAGGUAAAUCUCAAAGUGCACAAAAUACUACUCAUAUGGAUAAUCCAAUCUGCAAGGUAAUAAUGAUGAAAACAAAUCUAUCUCAUGAACAUUUGGCUAAAGGAUCCACCCAUGCUUCUCGGGUGAAACCUGAUGUGAUCCAUCUCUAUUUCAACAAAUCCAUGUAGGGAGGUCCUGAUACAGUCAAUCGUCGGAAGCUCCAAACUAGUACUCAAUCUAAAACCUAGUUGACCACUGUCUUAAUCUCAAGGACACUAAAAGAAAGUGGGGAAAUAUGCCCCAGUAUAAGAUCUGAUGUCAAAGUCAUGAGGUAAAUAUUCAACACUAAUCAUCUCUCCUCAUACCACUACAUAAGCAAAAUCUCACCAAGGAGAAGGGAAUAUGCCCCAAUAUGAUAUCUGAUGUCGAAGUCGUGAGGUAAACGACCAACAAUGAUCAUCCAUCUAUGUAGCGCUGCCUCAACACAAUCUCAUCAAGGAGAGGGGAAUAUGCCUCAGUAUGGAUAUCUAAUGUACAAUAAAGAAUCUGUCAAAAUCAAUCAAACAUCUCUAUAACCAUAAAUAGGGAUAGUCAUACCGUUCAACAACAACUAGGAACCUCAAAGAAAAUGGGAAAUAUGCCCUAGUGUGGAUAUCUAAUGCACAACAAAAGGAUCCAACGUCACUAAUCAACUAUCUCUAGCUCAACAAUAAUAUGCUAAGAAGUUAGAAUGAAGUAUCAACCAAUGCCUCAAGGGAAACACUCUAAAUCUAAUCUCAAAGGAAUAAUCAAAAUGAUGAGGAAUGUGAUAAUCUCAAGAGUAGAAGCAUGUCUCUGAUGAAUCCUUGACUGAUUCUAACAUGAAUCUGGUAACCUCGAAAUAGGAAAAUAUGCCCCAGUAUACAAGAUCUAUACACUGCACUGAAAAUUGUCCCCAACUCAAUAACAAUCCACUAGUCUAUCUCAGAAAUACUCCACAAACGAAACCUAGAAUCAUGAAAAUCGUCAAUGAGCUACACUAGAGUUGAUAUCAUCUCAACAUACUCCACUUGAGAUCUCAGAUCAAUGAAAAUGCACAGGCUCAAAGAAAGUGCUCCACUAGGGGCUCAUCUCAACCAAAUGAAAGGGGAAUAUGAUAUGGAUAUCUGAUGUAUAAUAGAAUGGGAAGCUAGACAAUAUCAAAUAUCAUCCAUAAAAUGAAGCAAUCAUCCACAUCCAUCACUUAAUCACCUCCAAGCAUCAAAGAAGCAUUUCCCAAAAAAAAAAAAAACAAGAUGAUGUCUAUACAUCAACCAAAUCCCAAACACCAACCUAAGUAGAGUUUGUCAAAGAAAGCAUCUGAUCUCAUGGUCUCAAGGUGGACUUAAGACAUGGGACGUAACAUAGGUCAGGGUGAUAGGGUGAAAGAAAUGAAGGAAAACUAGGCUCAAAUAUUCAAUGAUCAAAUCCAUACCCUCAUGUAUAGUGUAAUGCAUAGAAAAAUCUCAUGAACCAUGGACCUAAAGGUAACUAGAGGGAAUGAAAGAUGUGAAUGAUGUGAAGAAGAUAUUGAAUCAAUACUGUGUAUCAAUGUGUAGGAAAUGGAUAAAAGGUGGAACGAAGAUCUAGAAAGAAGUGACGGGAUACAAAAAAAAACAAUGAGAAAGUGGAAUGAAUGAUGAUCAACCCAUAUUAGUACAAUAAAGGAAAGUCAUAUCACCAAUGAUGGAAUGGUGGAUAAGACAAUGAUCCGGAGACCCUAGGAAAAAGGUUACUCAUCCCUCAUACCUAAUACAUAUCAACCAUGAUCCAAGAAGCAUAGGAUCUCAUAGAACUCUCACAUGAACCCUCGACACUCCAAAUGCAUAACAAAAGUAGCUCAAGGAGUGAAAACUCAUAUAAAAAUCUCACAAAAACCCACAAUGACAAAUAUACCCAAUAAACAGACCUCAAAAUGUGACAUAAGUGCCCAAUGGAGCAAGAUACCAUACACAAACAUAUCAUUACGCUUUUUCUUUCUUUUUUGUUUUUGUUUUGUUUUGUUUUGUUGAAUGUGCAUGCUCUGAUUAUCAAUAAAUCGAACUCCAGUGGGAAAGAUGUAAGGAAUGAACAAACUCUCUCAAAUCACUGAUGAAUACAUGAACCCCAUCCCAUGAGACAACCUCUCAGACUAAAAUCUCUGAAUCAAUGCCAAAUGAUGGGAUGAAUGGAGUGAUAUGACUGUCCACUUUGCACUAAGAUGUGAAUAAUCAUCAACCCAAGGAAAAGAAGAGACAAGGUGAAGCAAAUAAUGAUGAAAACAAGAAAAAGAAUGAAAAUGUGAUGAUAGUAAAAUAGAACAAAUAAGGUGAUAUGAAGAUGAUAACAAGAAUGAGAAAAUAGACCUAGAGGUCUAAAGCUCAUGAGACUUUCCUAGCAAAGCAUACAUAUACAUCAAAGGGCCCCAAACCCGAGUGUAGAAAUGGUAAUCAAGGCUAUAAGAAAUAAAAAAAGGCUUUAACGUACCAUGUGAGGCUCAAUGGGCUAGCAACGGUCUAAUAUAUAGAUAGAUGUGAUAAAGUGUAAGGCUAACCGAAAUGAUGGCCACCUAUCCUAUGACCAUGGUCUCAAAUGUAAUGCUUCUUCAACUGAUCCACAUUGAAAGGGUCUAAGAAUUGAUUUUUAUCUAGAUAUGUCAAUCAUAUUUCCUCUCUAGGGUCAACUCUCUAAUGACAUGUGUUGUACUCUAAGUAAGUCCCUAGGGUCUCCUGGAAUAGAUGAAUCUCCAUGACCAUAACUGGACUAACAUCGUCCCUAAACAUAUCAUCAACAUAAGCGGGAUGCCCCAACAUAAAUAAACUAAAUCUCUUCUAAACUCUCAAUGAUGAAAAUCUCAAGCAUAUCAAGAGAGUGAACUAUCUCUGGCUAAUCUGUGCUAACCAUCUAACCAUCAUCCAAUACCUCUAUCUCAGGCUCAUCAUGAAAAAAAAAACCCAUGUCAAUCAAAUCUUCCAUCUUAUAGAAAAACUAACAUCCUCUAUAAGAACUCUCAUCUGGUAGACUUUGACCCAUAAUCCACUAAACUCAUCAUAUGUAUGAUGUCACCCUCAACAAUGUCACUGGCUAACUAGGUGGUGGGGGCGGGCGGUAAUGAAUCAAACGACAUCUCAUCUUGAAUUGGAUGUUAUCUAUCUCACUGUCCAUCAAUCCUCUGGCUCAAACCUGCUAAUACCUCCUGAAUAAAGUCAUGGUGAUUGUAAGUCAAUCAACUGUAACAUGCUAAAGAUCCACACUUGAUUUCUUUGAAACCCUGAUCAAUAUAUGUCCAACUCUAAUCUAAUAAGUUGAAUCCAAACCAAAACGAAUAACACUCCUAUAAGGUACAAAAGCACGAAAAGAUAAAUGAAUGAAGCUCAAAAAUGGUGGAAACGCACUAAUCAAAAUGAAAAAAUGUGGACUAACUAAAACUUAAACAUGUACUAAUCUCUGAGCACACCAAAAGGAGACCAUGAAGAGAAUAACUUAACCUAAUUGUGACCAAGGCAGCUCUCAAGGUCCAUAGAUGCACCCACGUGUAGAAGUGAAAUCUUAAUUGGGUCUAGGCUAACCUACAAGGUUUAUGUGUCUCUAUAAGAUAAAGUGGGUGGCUUAAAGGAUCCCUAGCAGAAGCGAUCGUACCCUCCGGCGGUACGCAACCCUCUACACGCCUCUAAAGAGACGGGGUGCUUCCAUGCAAGGUGGUCAUCACCUCCACACAUGCACUUCUUCGCUUUCCCAGGGGGUUUCUUAAUGGUGAAGGCUCUCCCAUCUCUCAACACCCAAGGAUAAUCUAAAGUGCAUAGUGAAGGAUGUGGGUGCAUCCAAAAAUACCUAAGAUCUAAAGUGAGAUAGUGAACAAAGACAAGCAAUCAUACAAUCAUGUAGGGGAAAAAGUUGUCAUGCAACAAGCAUUCAUCUGAAGCAGAUAAAUAUCAAACAAACAAAGUCCUAUCUAACAUAUGUGAGAGUGAAUCAUGCGAAAGUGAGUAAGCAAUCAGGUGAUCAUUCAAGGUACUCAAACAUGUUAAGAUAGCAAACCAAACAAGAAGCAAAUCGAAUCACCUUUGCCUAAAACAAGUGAGUACCCUCUGAUCGACCAAUUAAACACCACAUUUUCCUCAACUAGUGUUCAAGCUUGAUCCUCAAAAUUCCCCAAUGGAGUCGCCAAGUUGUGGACUCGCAUUUUUCACGUGCGUCCCCACUCGAUUGGCAAGACUCGCUUUUAUUUGUGAAAAAUUAAUUUUUGGAAAAGUCGGAGUCGCCACUUAUUUUAUUUUUAUUUUAAAGGAAAAAUAAAAUUAGAAAUAAAACCUUAAAAUAUGACUCCAUAGUUUUUGGCAAAGCGUGUCUUUAAAAAACCCGAGUCUAGGUCCGGGGAUCAGGUUACUUAUUGGGAAGGUAUAUCUAGGAGGUAGCACGCCUCUAAGGCCUAUAAAGGUCUCUAUUGACUAAGUUGAGGGAAAUGUGACAAUUAAUUGAUUAAUUGAGGGUACUUAGGUAGACUAAGGUGAUUUAAAAAAAAUAGCAUGCCAAACAAGAUCAAAUCACAAUAAAUAAAAGUUAGGAUGCAUACCCGAACUGCUUCUUAAGCGCCAUCACAAACAAUCAAAGGUUGGUUUAAAUAGUAUAUCGCCCAACAUGCCCUUUAUGAAAAAUAAUCGCACAAUGAAGCAUAUAUAUCAAGGCACCUAAGCACUAUCAAACAUAGGCAUAGUUCACAGUGACAAUCAUAUUUAUAGAAUUUAGAAGGUAGGUAAUAGGGGGCGUACCUAGAUAGCAUAGACAACUCAUAAUACGCUUCCUCAGGACAUGGGGGGUUAGAUAAUAAAUAAUAAAAUAAGAAAUCUUAACGUGCUUAUCUAAUUAGUAUAGCAAAAAUGACCACAGUAUAGAAAACAAUCAAUUAUCACUUAUAUCUUAUAUAUAAUUCUUAAAAAAUAAAUAGACAUGAUUAUAAUAAAUAGCAAGGGUGGUAGCAAAAAUAAGUUUUGAAACGAUUUUCUUAUGUAGGGUUUCACCAAUUCCCCAAUCAAUAUACACGAAUUUAGCCUAGAAUUAUCUCAUUUAUUUGGGACCACAAGUUUUGAUUCAUGUUUUAUUCAAAACCAAAAUUUUUAUUGAAAACUGAGAAUGAUGCAAACCGAUCAAGAUACGGUUGCAUAUUAUUAUUAUUAUUAUUAUUAUUAUUUAAAAAAAAAGAUUUUGAUUCUAAAGACUCUAAAUGAAUUUUUUUUAAAUAUAUUUUCAAAGGGAUCUUUUGAGAAAAGUAUUUUAUUUUAAAAUAAAAGAAAUUAAUUUUUAAAAUAGAAAAAAACAUUGAAAACAAACUACCAACCAAAACAAAAGAAAACGAAAAUCACAAAAUAAAGAUUUAAACAAUCAUGUCAAUUACAGUGGUGAGAGUAGGGCCAACCUUCAUGGGUUUCUAGUGGCCUUAAAAAAAAGGGAUUUGACCAACAAUCGCUAAGGCAACAGACUAAUGACUUUUAAUUCAAGCAAGCUAACAAAAAUAUUAUCCAAUACUAAUAUCUAGAUUUCAAGAAACACAUGAAUUAAGAUAAGAAAAACCGAUCAAGGAUUAAAGUCAACAAACUUAGCAUAUGGAGAUAAUAAUGUGGGAUUAAUUAAGGUAAAUUAACAUUCUAACAAAAUAUGAUAAAUCAAAACCAAAAUUUAGCAAUCUUGAAAAUAUGAAAACAAUAACAUGCAAUUAACUAGAUUGAUUAUCUAAAAUUCCUAAAAACUCGAACUAAAUAUUAAUAGAUCAAUACCAAAAUAUGCCAUACUCAAAAUAUGAAAAAUAAUAACAUAUGAUUUACUAAAUUAAUUAACCAAAACUCUAAUAAACUAAAACUAAAUAUUGACGAAUCAAAAUUAAAAUUGUCAUACUUAAGACAUGAAAAUAACAACACGUGAUUAACUAAAUUAACUAAAAUUAUAGUCAACUUCAAAAUUGGAUAUAAAUGGAUUAAAUCAAGAUUAACAGAAUCAAAAAACACACAAACACAUUCAAACUAAAAAAUAAUUAAUAGAUUAAAUUAGAAUUAAAAACAUCAACAUUAUCUAAUAAGAUUGGCUAAACUAUCAAAUUGAAAUUGCAAAUAUAUUUGAACUAGAACAAAUAAAUAAAUCAGCAAAUUAAAACUAAACUAAAAUCAGAAUUAAAAAAAAUAUGGAAUUCAUCUAAGAGGAUUAAUCAAAUAAUUGAAUUAAAAUCAUAAACGCAUUCAAAUUAUAAAAUAUUAAAAUUAAACUAAAUUGAAAUUAAGCUCCAUCUAAUAAGAUUAUUUAUGAUGAAUUAAAAUCAACAAAUACAUUUAAGCUAAAAAUAGAUUAAAACCAAACCAACUAGGAUUAAAAACACAAACUUUAUUUGGCACGAUUAUUUAAACUAAUGAAUUAAGUUCAGUAAAUGCAUUUAAACUAAAAACAAAUUAAGACUAAACUAGAUAGAAUAAAAAACACAAACAUUAUUUGACACAAUUAUUUGAAUUAAAGAAUUAAGAUCAACAAAUGCAUUUAAACUAAAAACAAAUUAAAAUUAAACUAACUAGAAUUAAAAACACAAACUUUAUUUGGCACGAUUAUUUAAAUUAAUGAAUUAAGAUCAAUAAAUGCAUUUAAACUAAAAACAAAUUAAGACUAAACUAAAUAGAAUAAAAAACACAAACUUUAUUUGACAUGAUCAUAUAGAUUAAAAUAAACUAGCUUGGUAAUGAACUACAAUCACAAAAGAAGACAUCUAAUUUUUAAAAAAUAAAAAAAUUAUACGAACUGAGAUUCAAAAGAAUUUAUUGCAAAGAUUAAUUAAACUAACGAACUAAAAUCUAAACUAAAAAAAUGCUUAUCGAAAACGAAAACUAACCUGUGUUGUGUCUGAAAAAAAGAAUACUCUCUUGAUGAUUAAAAUGGCAGCCCGAUCCCCGUCCGAAGUUAGUGAGCUCAUUCUUUUUUUAUGACCACAAGGCUUCCGAAGCUUACAUAGAUAACAUAUUUUAACGGUUGGCGGUGAUGCCAUGCUAUGCAGCUUUUGUCUUCUUCCCAUAAACUGUUGGAAGAUUGUGACAGUUAUUUCAGAUGCAAGCCUGGAUUUCCAGUGUUCAUGAAGAGGUCUGAUGGCAUAGGUUUUGGGUCAAUGAUUGAGUAUUUAGGAGAGGAUAGGUCAUUCUAGAUCUUCAAAUGUGUUGAGUAUGAGACCGUUGGUUUGUGCUGUUUGUGGAAGCUCUUUCAGGACAAAUUGGAAAUAUGGGUCAUCCACGUUAUUGGCCCAGAAAAAAAAAACUGGGUACGUCACGUCGUCAGAGAAAUCUUUCCAUUGCAGGCAAAUUGGUUACUAGCCGAUCCAGAUCAUCAUCUUUUAAGGGGAAUUUGCCAGCUUCAAUGAGUUGAUCUAAAGAGAAAUAUGCUCAAAAGGAACAAGCACUUGUAGUACGGAAAAUAAUAAUGGGAACUCUCACUUCGUCAACAAUAUCAAUAGCAAAAGUUAGGAUCCCAUCUACUAUGAUGCAGGUCACCAGUGGGCAAGUUUUAGAACUCUGACAUCACAAAAUCAUCUUCUUCCUGAAAUGUGGUUUGGUUGUAGUUCUGAGUCCGUCGAAGCUAUCCUUGUGGUCGGUGUGCGGGUACUCCAUCGGAAGCCCAUUAUUGUUUCAAAACGGAAGCCGAGAUAGUGGGUGAAUCUAUCUAGAAUACUACUGGAGUAACAGAAAAGACAAUGGUAAUUGGAAUUGGAAUUAAGGAAGGUGACUUGGAGGCCUCCAAGGUAGAGAAGUUCGGUGAGUUUAAGCAUGGCGCUGAGGUAGCCUUGAACCGGAAAAAUGGAAGAUGAGGACCUGGGGAGAGUUCAUUCAUCAUGCGGCUACCAUAUCUUGUCCCUUCAUGUGGAGUGUGUGUUGUUCAUCUUCAAAGUGGCAACCCCCUCUUUUCCUUGGUCAUGAUAUGCCCUUUUCUAUAUGCAGCUCGGAUUCCUUCUUAAAGCCAUGAUCUACCCGCUUUCUAUAUGCAGCCCGGAUUCCUUCUUAAAGCCGUGAUUUGCCCACUUUCUAUAUAUAGCCCGGAUUCCUUCCAAGUUUCCCUAUUUGGCCGUGAUCUCCUCUCAUUUUUUUAACAAUAUAAAACUCCUUUCCAUAUUGUGUUGAAUAUAAAAAUAAUGCAACAGAAAAUAAUGAAAAAUGGAUGCAAUCAAGAAUCGAAAUCAAGUCCAAACAAAUGUCCAAAAUGACCUAUUUUGAAAAAAAUUGCCUAAGUGACCUAGGGUGAAUGUGUGCAAGCUGGAAGGUGCCUAGGUGAACCUAGAUGAGUCUAACCUAAAGUGAAAAUUAAGGCUGCCAAGGGUCACAAUGGGGUUAGAUAAAUCUCUCAAUCAGAGUCUUCGAGAUGGCUCUCAAAAAGGUAAGUAGUAUGAGUAACAAUGGGCCACCAAGGAACUACUGUGGAACACUAGAACUAAACUUAAAAACAUGUGCUAAAGGGACAAAAUUGAGGGUCUACAUUCUAACAGAAGAACAAGCCAUUUCCUUAGAUAGAUCUGAACAUGGUUUAACAAAUUAUUUUAGAACAACAAUGAAACAAAAUCGUCUGUUUGAAAUUCUUGACAACCAAGUUGUAAAUGAAGGACAGAAUGAGGAGAUUUUUGCUGUUGAAAUAGUCCUCCCACAGUUGGGUAGAUUUCAAGAGUCGUUUUAUAUUCAGAAGACAAGGAUUCAAGAGCAUUCGUUGCAGCAACAAACAUGCCAAGACUAUUGCUUGGUAAGUGAAAGAUCCCAUUCCUAUACAUUUGGUCCAGUUACAGAAGAAAUAGUUCAAGAUGAUGAGGUCUUGUUUUCUUAAAGUUUGGGUUGAAUACUAGGCAGUUUUUUCAACCCAUAUGUGUCAGGAUGUUGGAAAGUUAGACUCGUUUAGAAAGUUUCAAAUAAUUAGAAUUAAAUUUGGUCCCUAAAAGUCAUAAAGGAUAUUUUAUUUUGAGUGGUUGUUUUAGUUUCUAUUUUUGAGUAACUAAGUUCUAUAAAGGUUUCUAAAUUUUGUUAUUAGCAGUUUAUAUUUUGUUGAGUUUAAGUGUUUGUAAAUAAGAAAUCAAAUCAUGUAAUAUUUGAAUAAGAGAGUGGUGGAAGGCAUUAAAUUUUAAAUUCUCAAUUUUUAUUUCCAUUUAUAAAUUGUUUGUGUAUUUCUUUCAACCUUAUUACUUCAAUAAGUUGCUAUUAGAGCCAUAUGAAAAAAAACAACAAGUAGGAUGCAUUUGUUUCAAGUUCCCCAAGUCAACAAAAACAAUGAUGGUAAUUAGACUUAGGAUGAAGGUUUUGCUUGGGUCACAAGAUGCAUGAGAAAUUUCAAAGGAAGGCUAUAAAUUUUUUGAGAGAUACAAGGAAGAAAACUCUUACUAUCAUCUAUCAAACAAUGGAUGAAGGUAUUUUUUAGAAGAUUUCUAGUGUAACCACCUUCAAGGAAGCCUAUGAGAUAUUAUGAAGUACAUAUGAAAGAGUUGAUAAGGUAUGAAAACUUCGUCUUCAAACUCAAAGAGAGAAUUUGAAGGCUUGAAUAUAAAAAAAUUGGAAUCAAUCUUUGAUUAUUUUUAUUGAGUAUUGGUUGUUGGGCUUUGUGGAGCCUAGUUUUGUUUGAUCCGGUUUGACGGCCCGACCCGAAUAAUAUUGCAUGGUUUUUUUAAUGGGAGAUUUAUUGAGGCUUGUUGGGCCCGUUUAGCCCAUUGUGGAACCACUUUUUGUAAUUAGGGUUUUUUAGUAUGGUAGGGUUGCCAUGCUAUAUAUAUAGAGAGAAUAUUGUAGCUACCAUGUAGUACUUUGUAUUGUUCCCGGAUAAUAGUGAUAUCCCUACAACUCUGUGGACGUAGGCAAAUUGCCGAACCACGUAAAUAUUGUCUUGUGUGUGUGAUUGUUUUUUUCUUUGGUGUGUGUUUUCUCUAUUUUUUGUUUCUCACGGGUUGGGAAUUCGGUUUAAUUCCUUACAACUGGUAUCAGAGCCUAGGGUUAGGUUUGAGUGGGAGCAAUGGCAGAGGAAGCAGGAAAGGCGUCUGGAAUAGAAAAGUUUGAUGGCACAGACUUUGCGUAUUGGAGGAUGCAGAUUGAAGAUUAUCUCUAUGGGAGGAAAUUACAUCUGCCUCUUUUGGGGACAAAACCUGAGAGUAUGAAGGCUGAGGAAUGGGCACUUCUUGACAGACAGGUUCUAGGAGUUAUUAGGUUAACUCUAUCUAGGUUUGUUGCACACAAUGUUGUAAAGGAGAAGACCACAACAGAUCUGAUGAAGGCUUUGUCCGGUAUAUAUGAAAAGUCGUCCGCAAACAAUAAGGUGCAUCUGAUGAAGAAAUUGUUCAAUUUGAAGAUGGCAGAGAAUGCAUUGGUAGCACAACAUCUGAAUGAAUUUAAUACAAUCACAAAUCAAUUGUCGUCUAUAGAAAUUGAUUUUGAUGAUGAGAUUCGUGCUCUGAUCAUCUUGGCUUCUUUGCCAAACAGUUGGGAGGAAAUGAGGAUGGCAGUAAGCAAUUCUACGGGAAAGGAAAAGCUCAAGUACAAUGAUAUACGAGAUUUAAUUCUGGCUGAGGAGAUUCGCCGAAGAGAUGCAAGUGAAACCUCAGGAUCUGGUUCUGCCCUAAACCUUGAGACAAGAGGCAGAGGUAAUAACAGAAAUUCAAAUCAGGGUAGAUCAAAUUCCAGAAAUUCUAAUCGGAACAAAAGCAAAUCUAGAUCAUGCCAACAAGUACAAUGCUGGAAUUGUGGGAAAACAGGUCACUUUAAAAGGCAAUGCAAAAGCUCUAAGAAGAAGAAUGAAGAUGAUUCUGCUAAUGCUGUAACAGAAGAGGUACAGGAUGCAUUACUUCUUGCAGUAGACAGUCCACUUGAUGAUUGGGUUUUGGAUUCAGGAGCUUCGUUUCAUACCACUCCACACCGAGAAAUCAUACAAAAUUAUGUUGCAGGUGAUUUUGGUAAGGUGUAUUUGGCUGAUGGUUCAACCUUGGAUAUUGUGGGUCUGGGAGACGUCCGAAUAUCAUUGCCCAAUGGGUCUGUUUGGUUACUGGAGAAGGUUCGACAUAUUCCUGACCUGAGGAGGAAUCUGAUUUCUGUUGGACAACUUGAUGAUGAAGGACAUGCAAUACUGUUUGUUGGUGGUACUUGGAAGGUUACAAAGGAAGCUAGGGUAUUGGCUCGUGGAAAGAAGAUUGGCACUCUGUAUAUGACCUCAUGUCCAAGAGACACAAUUGCAGUUGCUGAUACAAGUACUGAUACAAGCCUAUGACACCGCAGACUUGGUCACAUGAGUGAGAAAGGGAUGAAGAUGUUGCUGUCAAAAGGAAAACUACCAGAAUUGAAGUCCAUUGAUUUUGACAUGUGUGAAAGUUGCAUCUUAGGAAAGCAAAAAAAGGUGAGCUUCUUGAAAACUGGCAGGACACCGAAGGCUGAAAAAUUGGAACUAGUACACACUGAUUUGUGGGGGCCUUCUCCGGUUGCAUCCCUAGGAGGUUCAAGGUACUACAUCACCUUUAUUGAUGACUUAAGUAGAAAGGUAUGGGUUUAUUUUCUGAAAAAUAAAUCUGAUGUAUUUGCAACUUUUAAGAAGUGGAAGGUCAUGGUUGAGACAGAAACAGGUUUGAAAGUAAAAUGUUUGAGGUCAGAUAAUGGAGGAGAGUACAUAGAUGGAGGAUUCAGUGAGUAUUGUGUUGCACAGGGAAUUAGGAUGGAGAAGACCAUUCCUGGGACACCACAGCAGAAUGGUGUGGCUGAGCGCAUGAAUAGAACUCUCAAUGAGCAUGCUAGAAGUAUGAGGUUGCAUGCUGGACUACCAAAAAAGAUUUGGGCUGAUGCUGUUAGCACUGCAGCUUACCUAAUAAAUCGAGGACCAUCAGUUCCCAUGGAGUUCAAACUUCCUGAGGAGGUUUGGAGCGGUAAAGAGGUGAAGUUUUCACAUUUAAAAGUUUUUGGUUGUGUUUCUUAUGUUCAUAUUGAUUCUGAUGCUCGUAGUAAACUUGAUGCAAAGUCAAAAAUAUGUUUUUUCAUUGGCUAUGGUGAUGAGAAAUUUGGCUAUAGGUUUUGGGAUGAACAAAACAGGAAAAUCAUCAGAAGUAGAAAUGUGAUAUUUAAUGAACAGGUUAUGUACAAGGAUAGGUCAACUGUAACGUCAGAUGUUACAGAGAUAGAUCAAAAGAAAUCUGAGUUUGUCAACUUAGAUGAAUUGACUGAAAGUACUGUCCAAAAAGGGGGUGAAAAAGAUAAGGAGAAUGUAAAUUCACAGAUAGAUUUGAGUACACCUGUAGCUGAAGUUCACAGAUCUUCCAAGAACAUUAGACCUCCGCAACGUUAUUCACCUAUUUUAAAUUAUCUCCUGUUGACUGAUGGUGGUAAGCCAAAGUGUUAUGAUGAAGCCUUGCAAUAUGAGAAUUCAAGCAAGUGGGAGUUAGCCAUGAAGGAUGAGAUGGAUUCCCUAUUGGGGAAUCAGACAUGGGAACUGACUAAAUUGCCAGUAGGAAAGAAGGCUUUGCACAACAAGUGGGUAUACAAAAUAAAGAAUGAUUGAUGGUAGCAAACGUUACAAGGCCAGAUUAGUUGUUAAAGGGUUCCAGCAGAAGGAGGGCAUUGACUACACAGAGAUAUUUUCUCCAGUUGUGAAGAUGUCAACAAUUAGACUUGUACUUGGAAUGGUGGCUGCAGAAAACUUACAUCUUGAGCAAUUAGAUGUGAAGAUAGCAUUCCUUCAUGGUGACUUGGAGGAAGACCUUUACAUGAUUCAACCAGAAGGGUUCAUUGUUCAGGGACAAGAGAAUCUAGUCUACAAACUGAGAAAGAGCUUGUAUGGCCUUAAACAAGCUCCUAGACAGUGGUACAAGAAGUUUGACAAUUUUAUGCAUAGAAUUGGGUUCAAGAGAUGUGAAGCUGAUCACUGUUGCUAUUUUAAGUCCUUUGACAAUUCUUACAUCAUAUUACUAUUGUAUGUGGAUGAUAUGCUUAUUGCAGGGUCUGACAUUGAGAAGAUUAAUAAUCUGAAGAAGCAAUUGUCCAAACAGUUUGCAAUGAAGGAUUUGGGAGCUGCAAAGCAAAUCCUUGGUAUGAGAAUCAUUAGAGACAAGGCUAAUGGUACAUUGAAGCUUUCACAGUCAGAGUAUGUGAAGAAAGUUCUCAGCAGGUUCAACAUGAAUGAAACUAAACCAGUGAGCACACCCUUGGGUAGUCAUUUCAAACUAAGCAAAGAACAGUCACCAAAGACAGAAGAAGAAAGAGACCAUAUGAGCAAGGUGCCCUAUGCCUCAGCUAUUGGCAGCUUGAUGUAUGCUAUGGUGUGUACAAGGCCAGACAUUGCACAUGCAGUGGGAGUUGUGAGCAGAUUCAUGAGUAGGCCUGCAAAGCAGCAUUGGCAGGCAGUCAAGUGGAUUUUAAGAUAUCUAAAGGGUUCAUUAGAUACAUGUCUUUGCUUCACAGGUGCAAGUUUGAAACUGCAGGGUUAUGUAGAUGCUGAUUUUGCUGGUGAUAUUGAUAGUAGAAAGAAUACUAUUGGGUUUGUUUUUACUCUAGGUGGUAUAACUAUAUCAUGGACUUCAAAUCUACAGAAGAUUGUUACUUUGUCUACUACAGAAGCUCAGUAUGUUGCAGCAACUGAAGCUGGAAAGGAGAUGAUUUGGCUACAUGGUUUCUUAGAUGAGUUGGGUAAGAAGCAGGAGUUGGGCAUUCUACACAGUGAUAGUCAGAGUGCAAUUUCUCUUGCCAAAAACUCGGCUUUUCAUUCAAAGUCGAAACAUAUACAAACAAAAUACCACUUUAUCCGUUAUCUUGUUGAGGAUAAACUGGUAAUACUUGAGAAGAUUUGUGGAUCUAAGAACCCUGCAGACAUGUUAACUAAGGGUGUCACUAUUGAGAAGUUGAAGCUGUGCGCAGCUUCAAUUGGUCUUCUAGCUUGAGGACAGGAGGAUGAGUUGUAGGGAUGAGGGAUUGUUUCUUGGAGGAUAGCGGUUUGAUGUUGGUGAUUGGACUAGUCUCCAAGUGGGAGAUUUGUUGGGCUUUGUGGAGCCUAGUUUUGUUUGAUCCGGUUUGACGACCCGACCCGAAUAAUAUUGCAUGGUUUUUUUAAUGGGAGAUUUAUUGAGGUCUGUUGGGCCCAUUUAGCCCAUUGUGGAACCACCUUUUGUAAUUAGGGUUUUUUAAUAUGGUAGGGUUGUCGUGCUAUAUAUAUAUAGAGAAUAUUGUAGCCGCCAUGUAGUACUCUGUAUUCUUCCCUGAUAAUAGUGAUAUCCCUACAACUCUGUGGACGUAGGCAAAUUGCCGAACCACGUAAAUAUUGUCUUGUGUGUGUGAUUGUUUUUUUCUUUGGCGUGUGUUUUCUCUAUUUUUUUGUUUCUCACGGGUUGGGAAUUCGGUUUAAUUCCCUAAUUGGUUAUUGUGAUUUAAAAAAAAAAAAAAUUGGAAUUUUAAAUGACUCAUGUGAUUGACAAAAAUACAUUGAUUUUAAAUUUGAAAUUUAAUUACAUUGUUGUAUCUAUUGAAAAAACUGAUGAUUCAAAUUAUAUAACAAUUGAUCAACUUAUGGGAUCAUUAAUUACAAGCCCAUGAAGAGAGAUUAAAAAUGUAUAACCAAGAAAAAUUAGAACAAGUUGUUCAAACAAAACACUAACGAGAAUUUGCUCUUUCACCCUAGGGUAAGAAAGAAUAAGAAGAAAUUAUCUUAUUAUAGAGGAAGUUGUUGUAUCUUUGUGUUGCCCAGGAUCAGGUCAAGUCUAUGUGACUAAGGCCAAAAUAAUCAAGGACAUGGUUAUGAAUGUGGCCAAGGACAAUUUAGGAAGUGACACUUUCAAUUCAUCAAAAAAAUGAAAGAGCAAGCCAAAAUUCAUAUGCCUUAAGAGGAUGUGCGAGAUGACACAACUCAAGGCAAAACAAGAAAGGAAGGUAUAUAUGAUAAAUCUCAUAUUCAAAGUUAUAACUGUUGAAUUAUGGUCAUUAUAUUUAUAAAUGUAAAAGUGUCACUAACAAUAUCAAAGGACAAGCCAAUUAUAUAUAUAUAUAUAUAUAUAUAUAUAUAUAUAUAUAUAUAUUUAAAAAAAGAUUAAGAAAAAUCUACUAUAUUGUUGGCUUUAUAAAGGAAAAAGUGAAGAGAACACAGUGUCGAGACAUGAGAGCAAACAAUCAUGUGUACGUUCAAAAUUAUAUUUGUGGAGCUCAAUGAAUUGAAAAGUAUAUUACUUUUAGAUAUGCAUUCAAAACUUCAAUAAAAGAGAACGAUAAAAUCUUAAUUUGUUUGAAAAAUAAAAAAUAAUAUUUUAAAUUUGCAUCAACUCUUAAAAAAUGGCUAUGAUAUUCAUAUGGAAAAAUGAAUGUUUCUAAAUAAAAUAUCAAUGUGACAAUUUAACUACUAAUGUACUUAUGACAAAAAAAUAGAAUGUUUUUCUUAAACAUUUAAAGAAAGGUCAUGUUACAAAUAUUUUUUUUUCCUUUUCAAAUAAGAUUGCUAGGAUCAUGGGUCUUCAAUACCAAUACUAGUAGUGGUUGAAGAUCGAGUUUCUUUUAAUUUCUUUUUAAUUAUAAUAAGGAUUAAAAUAUCCGAAAUUACGAAAAUAUUGGAUUUUAUGAAAAUAAUGAAAAAAAAUAGAUAAAAAAAUUGAUAGAAUAAAAAUUGAUCAAAAUUCAUAAAAAUGUUAUAAACAAAUUACAACAAACAAUAAAAUGAAUAAUAAUAAAUGUAUUAAAGUUUUUCUUAUAAAAGACAAUAUUAAUAGAGCAUAAUUUGUUGAAUAAAAUUACAACAUUAUACAAUUAAAAUUACUAUAGUUAUGAAAGUUUGAUUUUAAUAUUUCAUAUUUUGUAUGGAUGUAUUAAAAAGUAAAAAUAAAAAUAAAAAUUAAGGGCAUCGUAGCAUAACCAUUGAGACAAAGUCAAAACCUAAAAAAAUCGAAUGAAUCGAUAUAUAGACAAGUAAAUCCCUUAUGAAUUCUAAGGUACUGCUUUGCCCAAGUAGUUGAGGGGGCCUUCUUUUCACCCAGCAUUGACCCUUCACAUGCGCAAUAAAUAUGGAGAAACGCAGAAAUGUAGGGAAGAAAUGUAAUAUAACUGAAAAAUAGGCAUAUCGCGAUAAAAUGCGGAAUUCGAAUAUUCUCCAGAAUUUCGCCAAAAACCACGUGUUUGGGAUUGGUGGUCAUUCCGGAGGUUGCAAGUUAAAGCCCGACUUGGGCUAAGGCUUUCUAUGGCCAUGCAACAACAAGAAUGGCCAAGGGACUCCAUGUAACGCCCAAGCAUUUUCUUUUAAGGGUAAUUUAGGAAAUUGUUAUUAAUUUAAAAAAAGAAAAGAAAAAAGAAGAGGGGUAAAAGAGUAAUUUUACGAUUAAUACCCUAGGUAUAAAUAGAAAAUUCUCUUCUUCCUGUUCUUUUUUUGAAUCGUAUUCCUGUUCGCAGAGAGUUUCCAGAGAACGUGAAGUUGAGGUUAGAUUUUAAGGUUUGAAGAACAAACCUCUAUAGGUAAGUUUCUAACCCCUAGAUUAUUAUUUUAGAGUCAUUAGUUAAUUUCAAGCAUAUUAGAUAUAUUUUUGGAAAACCCCAAAUCUAGAUUAGGGUUAGAUUAUUAUUUUUUAAUUCGUUUUAAUAUCAAAUAGUGAAAAUUUAAUAUUUUGAUUUUAGUAUUUGAAUUUGGGAGAUGUUAAGUUUUAUUAGAUGAAAAAAAAAAUUCUUGGAAGGUUUCGAUUUUAGGUUAGGGUUAAUUUUCUUAAAAAAAAAAAAAAAAAAAAAGGGUGUACGUGUACUGUGCUACUGGAAGCAUGUAACCAAAAAAAAGAAAAAAAAGAAAAAAAAAAGAAAAGGGUGUGUGCCAAGAAGUGUGUGUGCCAUAUAUAUAUAUAUAUAAUGGAUCAUGAUGGCAAUGAAAAAAAAAAAAAAAAACUUGCUUUUUGGUUUGGUGUACCCGAGAUAGGUUGAGUGGCUUUGGAAUUGGUUAAUUAAAAUAAUAAUAUUUAGUUGACUAUUUGGCCCUUGUCAACGGGAUAUAAUAGUUGACCCUUGUCAACGGGAUAUAAUAGUUGACCCUUGUCAACGGGAUAUAAUAGUUAACCCUUGUUAAAAAAACAUCACUCUGGUUUAUUUGGCCCUUGUCAACGGGAUAUAAUAGUUGACUAUUCGGCCCUGUCAACGGGAUAUAAUAGUUGACCUUUACAUUUCAUGGUGGGAAUGUAAUUGAUUUGGACCCCAGCCUCUAGGGGUUUGGUUAGAGGUUACUAGUACUAGUAGUGUUUGGUUCCGUCCACCAGGAACAAUUUGAGGCUAGCCACCCAUUUGAAAAGUCCCACCUAACUGGGCAUUUGAUAUUUGAUAACCAGAGUAAUGAAAAUUGAAUGGAUUUGAUUGAAUCUUAUGUGAAAGUGUUUGAAUUUUGAAUAUAUUGGUAUUUUUUAAACUUUGAUAUUUGAUGAGAAAAAAAAAUGAUAUUUCCUAUUUGAAAUGAAAAUAUUUGAUCCAUGAACUACAUUAAUAUUCCUUACUAGGCUGUGAGCUCAUUCCCAAUUGUUGAAAAUUUUUCAGGUACUCUUAGUUCGGGUGAGGAGUGAUGGCUAGACUGAGGAAUGGUCAUCAUUAAGAUUUGACUUAGGAUUUUAUGUUGGAUUUUGUUUAACUGUUAGUUAUGUUCAUUUGAAUCAUUUGGUAUUUGGAAGUUAUUUGGAAAUUGAAUUUUGAGGAUUUUAGAUUUUGUUCCGCUACUCUGAACAGGUAUUUGGUAAUUGGUAACAUCCAGUUACAAUAUGAUUGUUUGGGUCAGAUUAUACUUUAAGCCUUGGGGUUUGAGGUGUGAAAUGACCGUCACGCCCUUGGAGUGGGUCUUGGGGUGUGACAGAGUGGUAUCAGAGCACUAGGUUGUGAUCUUGAUGGGAACUUGUUUAGUGUACCUUUGGGAAUAGAUGAGUGACAUAUUAGUUUAAGUUUCAACUUCAUCUAGUCUGAUUCCUUUUAUUCCUUACAAUUCUGAUUUGCUUAUUCGACUUCUUAGUGACUAAUUUAGUUACACCUAUUGCUUUAUAGGACACCAUGCCACCAAGGAGACCCGCAUCUUCCCAAAACAGUCAGGCUAAUGAUGAUGUACCUCCAGUUGAGGGUUUACCUCCCGUGAGUGCAGAAGGGAUCUAUAGGUAUCUUGGGACACUAGCUGGUUUAGUUGAACGCCAAGCUCGAGCUGUUGGGACUAAUGUUCAGGGACAGUCUUCAUCUUCUAGGGGUAGCUCUUUUGAUGACUUCAAGAAAUUGGGUCCUCCUUACUUUUCUGGUGCUACAGAUCCCACAGAGGCAAAGGCUUGGAUCCUUAAGAUGGAGAAAUUCUUUGGUGUCAUAGAUUGCUCUGAGGAGCAAAAAGCCUCUUAUGCAGCUUUUAUGUUAAAUAAAGAGGCAGAUCAUUGGUGGCGCAUGACUAGGAGACUUUUGGAGGAUCGGGGACCCAUAACAUGGAGACAAUGUAGGGAGGCUUUCUAUAAGAAGUAUUUCCCUGACAGUGUUAGGCGGUAGAAGGUGGGAGAGUUUAUUUGUUUGGAACAGGGGGAUAUGAUUGUGGCUCAGUAUGAGGUCAAAUUUAUAGAGUUAUCACGUUUUCCCCCACAGUUGAUUGCUAUAGAGGAGGAAAAGACAUUAAAGUUUCAAGAUGGAUUGAAGCCUUAUUUGAAGAACAAGAUAUCUAUUCUGAAGCUUGGUGUCUAUUCAAAGGUUGUUGACAGAGCCCUUAUAGCAGAGAAAGAUAAUGAGGAGCUUCAUCAUUAUAGGGAACAACAAAGGAAGCGAAAUAGGAGUGACGGUGCUCAUGGUAAUCAAGCACAGCGAAGGUCUACAUCAGGAAGAAAUCAAAAUAAAGGGAAGGCAACACAGAAUUUAGAUGGGGCUUGUCCUACUUGUGGUAAGAAACAUGGGGGUAGGCCAUGCUAUAGAGAGACUGGAGCUUGCUUUGGUUGUGGGAAGCAAGGACAUUUGAUCAAAGAUUGUUCAGAGAAUAGGAAGUUCAUCACUGGGAAGCCUAAAGAGGAAAAUAAGGAGGAUAAACAGAAACCCAAAACCCAAGGACGGGUGUUUGCUAUGACUCAUCGAGAUGCUUAGGCCACUUCUGAUGUGGUGACAGGUACUCUCCGAAUCUACACCUUAUUUGCUAGAGUCUUGAUUGAUCCUGGAUCAAUACACUCUUUUGUUUCAGUAUCUUUUGCUGGUUUGUUGGGUUUGCCUGUUGCUAGCAUGGACUUUGAUUUGAUUGUUGCUACUCCUGUGGGAGAUUCUGUUGUGGCCAAUAGAAUGCUUAGAAAUUGUAUUGUGAUGAUUGGAUAUAGGGAAAUGCCAGUUGACUUAGUACUCCUUGACCUUUAGGAUUUUGAUGUGAUUUUGGGGAUGGAUUGGUUAGCUUCCUACCAUGCCUCUGUUAACUGUUUUGAGAAAAGGGUGACGUUUAGUAUUCCUGGUCAGCCUAAGUUUAGCUUUGAAGGGAAGCAUGUGGACAGACCACUGCGUAUGAUCUCAGCCUUGCGAGCUAGUAGUUUGCUCAAGAAGGGUUGCCAAGGAUUUUUGGCGAGUGUGAUGAGUAAUGAAAGUGAUUUGAAGUUGGAAGACAUACCCAUAGUAAGAGAGUAUCCUGAUGUCUUUCCAGAGGAUUUGCCUGGCUUGCCACCAGAGAGAGAGGUGGAGUUCACCAUCAAUCUGGUACCAGGAACAGGUCCUAUGUCUAAGGCCCCAUACAGGAUGGCACCUGUGGAGCUUAAGGAGUUGAAAGUUCAGCUUUAGGAGUUAUUAGACAAGGGUUUUAUCAGGCCUAGUGUUUCACCUUGGGGAGCUCCUGUUCUAUUUGUGUAAAAGAAGGAUGGCUCAAUGAGACUUUGCAUUGACUAUAGGGAGUUGAAUAAGGUGACAGUGAGGAAUAAGUAUCCCCUUCCUCGGAUUGAUGAUUUGUUUGAUCAGCUACAAGGUGUUUGUGUGUUCUCUAAGAUAGAUCUUCGAUCGGGUUAUCACCAGUUGAGGGUUAGAGGGGAAGAUGUACCCAAGACUGCUUUUCAAACUAGGUAUGGGCACUAUGAGUUUCUUGUUAUGCCUUUUGGUUUGACUAAUGCACCUGUUGCUUUUAUGGACUUGAUGAAUAGGGUAUUCAAGCCCUAUUUAGAUCAGUUUGUGGUGGUUUUUAUAGAUGACAUCUUGGUAUACUCAAGAAGUAGAGAAAAACAUGAGGGCCAUUUGAGUAUUGUAUUACAGACCCUCAGAGAUAAGCAGUUGUAUGCUAAACUGAAGAAGUGUGAGUUUUGGUUAGACCGAAUUUCUUUCCUUGGGCAUGUGGUAAGCAAUGAUGGCAUCUCAGUUGAUCCUGGCAAGGUAGAUGUUGUAGCUAAUUGGAGAAGACCUAGUAUUGUGACUGAGAUUCGAAGUUUCUUGGGACUUGCUGGUUACUAUAGGUGGUUUAUAGAAGGAUUCUCUAAGAUUGCCCUACCUUUAUCUAAGUUGACACAGAAGGGAGUUAAGUUUGAGUGGUCUGAUGAUUGUGAAUGUAGCUUCCAAGAGUUGAAAAAUAGAUUAGUGCCAGCUCCUAUUUUGACUAUCCCUUCAGGUUCAGGAGGAUUUGUGGUGUAUAGUGAUGCCUCUCAUCAGGGUUUAGGUUGUGUUCUUAUGCAACAUGGGAGAGUUGUAGCUUAUGCUUCUAGACAGUUGAAACCUUAUGAAAGGAACUACCUUACUCAUGAUUUGGAGUUAGCUGCUGUGGUUUUUGCACUUAAGAUUUGGAGACAUUUUCUUUUUGGUGAAACUUGUGAGAUAUUCACAGAUCAUAAGAGUUUGAAGUAUCUAUUUUCCCAAAAGGAGUUGAACAUGAGACAGAGAAGAUGGAUAGAACUACUUAAGGACUAUGAUUGUAUUAUUCAGUAUCAUCCUGGGAAGGCAAAUGUUGUAGCUGAUGCCUUGAGUAGGAAGUCAGUUGGUUCUCUAGCAGCUAUUAAAGGCUGUCAAAGGCAGUUACUUGAAGAGUUGAGGAGUUUACAAGUCCACUUUCGAGUUAUGGGCUUAGGAGCACUUGUAGCAAAUUUCAGAGUACAACCAGACUUAGUUGGGAGAAUUAAGACCCUACAAAAGAAUGAUUCCCAAUUAGUGCAAGUUAUGGAGGAAGUUAAGAGGAGCAGUAAGCCUAAUUUUGUUUUGUCAGAUGAUGAGAUCUUGAGAUUUGGGACUAGAUUUUGUGUCCCAAAUGAUGAAGACAUAAGGAGGGAGCUUUUAGAGGAAGCUCAUUGUUCCAAGUUUGCAAUCCACCAAGGAGGGACAAAGAUGUACAAGGAUUUGAGGCAAAACUAUUGGUGGUCAGGUAUGAAGCGUGAUAUUGCACAAUUUGUGGNNNNNNNNNNNNNNNNNNNNNNNNNNNNNNNNNNNNNNNNNNNNNNNNNNNNNNNNNNNNNNNNNNNNNNNNNNNNNNNNNNNNNNNNNNNNNNNNNNNNGCUUCUCUUUAUGUGAAGGAGAUUGUGAGAAUGCAUGGAGUACCAGUUUUUAUAGUGUCUGACAGAGAUCCUCGUUUCACUUCUAGAUUCUGGCAUAGUCUACAAAAAGCUUUGGGCACUAAGUUGAGUUUUAGUACUGCUUUCCAUCCUCAAACUAAUGGCCAAUCAGAAAGGGUAAUUCAGGUUUUGGAAGACUUGUUGAGAGCUUGUAUUUUGGACCUGCAAGGUAAUUGGGAUGAUCAUUUGCCUUUAGUAGAGUUUGCCUAUAACAAUAGUUUUCAAGCUAGCAUUGGGAUGGCACCUUUUGAGGCAUUAUAUGGUAGGAAAUGUCGAUCUCCUAUAUGUUGGAAUGAUGUUGGAGAAAGGAAACUUUUGGGGCCUGAACUUAUGCAAUUGACUGUUGAAAAAGUUGCUUUGAUUAAAGAAAGAUUAAAAGCAGCUCAAAGUAGACAUAAGAGUUAUGCUGAUCAUCGUAGGCGAGAUUUGGAGUUUGAGGUGGGUGAUCAUGUGUUCUUGAAAGUUUCACCUAUGAAGUCUGUGAUGAGAUUUGGGAGAAAAGGAAAACUUAGUCCUCAUUUUGUGGGUCCAUUUGAAAUAUUAGAAAGAGUAGGCACUUUGGCAUAUAAAGUAGCCUUGCCCCCAAGCCUGUCUAAGGUUUAUAAUGUGUUUCAUGUUUCGACUCUAAGAAAGUAUAUUUAUGAUCCUUCUCAUGUUGUGGAGUUGGAGCCUAUUCAAAUUUUUGAGGACUUGACCUAUGAAGAGGUACCCGUUCAAAUUGUGGAUGUGAUGGAUAAGGUACUACGACAUGCUGUUGUCAAGUUGGUAAAGGUCCAGUGGAGCAAUCAUAGUAUCUGAGAGGCCACUUGGGAGUUAGAAGAAGAGAUGAGAGAAAAGCAUCCUCAAUUAUUUCAAGACUCAGGUAUGUCAAGUUUAGAGGACUAAACUUUUGUUAAGGAGGGGAGGAUGUAACGCCCAAGAAUUUUCUUUUAAGGGUAAUUUAGGAAAUUGUUAUUAAUUUUUUUAAAAAAAAAAGAGGGGUAAAAGAGUAAUUUUACAAUUAAUACCCUAGGUAUAAAUAGAAAAUUCUCUUCUUCUUGUUCUUUUUUUUAAUCGUAUUCCUGUUCGCAGAGAGUUUCCAGAGAACGUGAAGUUGAGGUCAGAUUUUAAGGUUUGAAGAACAAACCUCUAUAGGUAAGUUUCUAACCCUUAGAUUAUUAUUUUAUAGUCAUUAGUUAAUUUCAAGCAUAUUAGAUAUAUUUUUGGAAAACCCCAAAUCUAGAUUAGGGUUAUAUUAUUUUUUUUUUAAUUCGUUUUAAUAUCAAAUAGUGAAAAUUUAAUAUUUUGAUUUUAGUAUUUGAAUUUGGGAGAUCUUAAGUUUUAUUAGAUGAAAAAAAAAAAUUUCUUGGAAGGUUUCGAUUUUAGGUUAGGGUUAAUUUUAUUAAAAAAAAAAAAAAAAAGGCGUACGUGUACUGUGCUACUAGAAGCAUGGAACAAAAAAAAAAUAAAAAUAAAAGGCGUACGUGUACUGUGCUACUGGAAGCAUGGAACAAAAAAAAAAGAAAAGAAAAGGGCGUGUGCCAGGAAGUGCGCGUGACAUAUAUAUAUAUAUAUAUAUAUAUAUAUAUAUAUAUAUAUAUAUAUAUAUAUAUAUAUAUAUAUAUAUAUAUAUAAUGGAUCAUGAUGGCAAUGAAAAAAAAAAAAAACUUGCUUUUUGGUUUGGUGUACCCGAGAUAGGUUGAGUAGCUUUGGAAUUGGUUAAUUAAAAUAAUAAUAUUUAGUUUUAGAUUUAUAAUUAAGAUAAUAGUAAUAAUAGAUUUAGCAAUAUAUAUAUAUAUAUAUAUAUAUAGAAUUUUAUAAUGAAAUAAAAUUGUAAUUUAAUUAAAUUAGUAAUGUGUUAUUAGAAAUAAAUUGGGAAUUUAUUAGUUUAUUUAAAUAAGGAAUAGAUUAGUUAAAUUAUAAAUAAAUAGUAAUAAUUGUUCCUCUUAUGUUUUGUUAGGUGAAGAGUAGAUUUUUAGGAUCAUUUUUCUCCAAAGUUUUUGGAGGAUUUCUUUUGAGGUAAGGGAAGUUAAUGUAAUAUUUAUAAAAUUAAAUUAUUUUAUAUGUUAUUUUGAAUUGUGGAAAAUAAAAUGAUAUUUUGUUACCAUGCAUGGAUCAAAUUGUUUUGCAUUAAAUGUUAUGUUGGAAUAUUUUGUUUUAUUCAUGACACAAAAUAUGGAGAUAUUAUGUUGUGUAAAUUUGAAUACUUGAACAAAAAAACAUCACUCUGGUUUAUUUGGCCCUUGUUAACGGGAUAUAAUAGUUGACUAUUCGGCCCUGUCAACGGGAUAUAAUAGUUGACUAUUCGGCCCUGUCAACGGGAUAUAAUAGUUGACUAUUCGGCCCUGUCAACGGGAUAUAAUAGUUGACCUUUACAUUUCAUGGUGGGAAUGUAAUUGAUUUGGACCCCAACCUCUAGGGGUUUGGUUAGAGGUUACUAGUACUAGUAGUGUUUGGUUCCGUCCACCAGGAACAAUUUGAGGCUAGCCACCCAUUUGAAAAGUCCCACCUAACUGGGCAUUUGAUAUUUGAUAACCAGAGUAAUGAAAAUUGAAUGAAUUUGAUUGAAUCUUAUGUGAAAGUGUUUGAAUUUGAUGUGAAAAUAGUUGGUUGAAUUUUGAAUAUAUUGGUAUUUUUGAAACUCUGAUAUUUGAUGAGAAAAAAAAAAUGAUAUCUCCUAUUUGAAAUGAAAAUAUUUGAUCCAUGAACUACAUUAAUAUUCCUUAUUGGGUUGUGAGCUCAUUCCCAAUUGUUGAAAAUUUUUCAGGUACUCUUAGUUCGGGUGAGGAGUGAUGGCUAGACUGAGGAAUGGUCAUCAUUAGGAUUUGACUUAGGAUUUUAUGUUGGAUUUUGUUUAACUGUUAGUUAUGUUCAUUUGAAUCAUUUGGUAUUUGGAAAUUAUUUGGAAAUUGAAUUUUGAGGAUUUUAGAUUUUGUUCCGCUACUCUGAACAGGUAUUUGGUAAUUGGUAACAUCCAGUUACAAUAUGAUUGUUUGGGUCAGAUUAUACUUUAAGCCUUCGGGUUUGAGGUGUGAAAUGACCGUCACGCCCUUAGAGUUGGUCUUGGGGCGUGACACUCCAGCUAAAUGAAUAGGAGUGAUUAUUUUCAUGGGAGUCCAGCUAAAUAACUAGAAGCUCUUAGUUUCAUUUUCCUUUACUUUGUUAUCAAACUUAAAUAAAUAGUAAAGAGGAAUAUAUAUAUAUAUAUAAUCAGGAUGAGAUGGGUGAGAUAAUAUAAUAUCCGAACUUGUCUUGAACCCGUCCGAGGUUUUAAAAAAAUCUCAAAUCUAUGCGCUAAUUAGUUUAUUUAAAUUGCAAACUCUCCCCAUUAGGAGAGGGGUGGGUCGGGUACCCAAAAUAACAAGUCCCAUUACCAUUUCUAUACUUGAUAAAGUCAUUUUUCCUAUUUUAUAUUUUCAACAUUUUAAUUUUAUUGCAAUACUCAAAUCCAAUUUCUCAUAUAAAAUAAAAGUAUUUUAAUUUUUUUUUUUGGAUAACUCCUAACUGAAAAAUAAAAUAAGCAAUCUAAUUUUUUUUGUGGUUUAAAUGAGAAAUGAAUUUACCAUAGACUAAUAAAGUUCUCAGAAAAUAAUAAUAAUAAUACGAUUGAGACAAUGAUGAAAUUGUUGUUGUGAUAUUAUGAUGGAACCUAGCUCUCUAGAAUGGAGAGCAACCUUCCUAACCAUAUGGGUCACUUACCUACCCCUCAUUAGCAAUGGCAAUGGGGUGGGUUCAGAACGGGUUGCCCUCAUCCCAACCUCACCCUGUUUAUUCAAAACAAUUUCUAUCCCCAUCCUAUUUAAAAAAUUAAACAAGGCGAGGCAAGGCGGGUAUGAAAAAUUCCCAUACCUGCCCCACCCCAUUUACUUUUUUUAAAAUUACUUUUAAAUUUUUUAAUUAUAUUAAAAUAAAUAUAUUUUAUAAAUAAUUAAAUUAUUAUAUUUUAUAACUUAUUUUAUUAAAAAUAUUUGAUUAUUAUCUAUAUAUUAAAAAUAGUAAAAUAAAAAUUAAAUUAAAUUUAAAUUUAAAAUUAAUUUUAUAUAUAAUCGGGGCGGGACAGGGCAGGGCGGGGCAAGGUGGGGUUGGGCAAUACCCGAACCUGCUCUGAACUUGCCCUAGGUUUUUUAAAAAAUUUUGAAACCCGUCCCAAACCCGUUUAUUAAAAUUAAACCUCGUCCCAUGAGGGACAGGGCAGGGUGGGUACCCGAAAAGACCCGUCCCAUUACCAUCCGUACCCCUCAUGCAUCUAUUUGGAGAUGAUUACACAUACCUUAAUUAUUAAUUUGUCUAAGAUUUUAGCUUGAAUUAAAUCAAUUUUAAUUAUUUUAUUUUUCAAAUUCUAUUUAAGACAUUAUUACUAAUAUAAAAGCAAUAAUUAAAAAUAAAAAAUAUUUUGAAUUUUUUUUUAUUAUACAUAGGUUUAUAAUAUAUUUAUAAAGAAUAAGCCUAGAAGAUCGUAUUUAAUAUUUGUGUUCAAUUUUGAAAAAAAAUUUUAGUAUGGUUCUAAAAAUCUAUUUUUUGAGAAUUAUUUUUUAAAACGUGGGUGGAAGAGCCCGUUUUAUAUGAACGAGAAAAUAAGAGAAAUAAAAUUUAAAAAUCAUUUUUUUUUUGUUCUUUAUCCUUUUUUCCUUGAGAAGACGAAGAAGAGGCAAAAGAAUAGUAUUGGAUGGUUGAUGGCCAAUCCAUUUACAAAAGGUAGAAACCUUUGUAUGCAAGUGGAGUUAAGUCUCCUCUGGAGUGUGGAUAGGGCACCGUGAUGGGCUGUACUCUUCACUGCACAAGGCUUGACCUGGGACUAGGUCUUUUGCCCCUUCUUGACCGGCUUAACCUACUUCUCAAAAAGAGGUUGAGGGUGUUCUUUUCAUUGUAGGGACCACAACACCAGGGUCACCCAACAAUUACUUUAUUCUUUCUUCAUUCUCCCUACAUUUCUCUACUUGCAUUAUGACACAUGCAAAUGUUGUUGAAUUGUUUGGUUGAUGGUUAGUCAAAAAAUGACUCUCUGGAAUUAAAAUUUGGAUGGGAGUUAGAAAAGUCUUACUUCUUUGAUGAGUAUCCAAUGGUUCAAGCAUGGCAUCCAGAAAUAGUAAACCUUCCCAUAUUCAAAUGCUGUUGAAUUGUUUUGAGUUUGUUCAACGAAAGACAGUUGUUGCCACAGCUGUGGUCAUAAUCCAUUCAUUCAAUGAUGUUAGGAUGUAUCAAACUUUGUGUUUGGUCUAUGGUCAUGCAGAAAAAAAAAAACAGUUUUUCUUUUAAUUUUUUUUAAAAAAACGAGAGUGAUUGAUAAGAUGUUUUAAAAAAUAGUUUUUAAAAACAAAAAAACAAAAAACUUGCCAUCCUUCCAUUACUUUUCAUUCUGCUAUUAACUUCAGUGACAGCUUCAGGUCCUACUGUGGAAAAGUUUGCCCAAUGUGUCUCUCAAUUCCGAGAUUCUUAUCCCAGUACCCACUGCCUUUUACACCCCAAACACCACUUCUUUCAGCGCUAUUCUGCAGUCUUCUGCCCAUAACCUCAGGUACCCCAAGCCUGAGUUUUUAAAAACAAUAGAGAAUCUUGUUUUUAAAAAUUGUAACUUAAAAACAAUUACCAAACAUAUAAAAAUAAAUAAAUAAAUUUGUUUUCUAUUUUUUAAAACUAUAAACUGUUUUAAAAAACUCUGCCAAACAAGCUCUAAAUCUUUAUGCAUAUAGGAUUGAACUUACUUCAGAAAAUGUAAAACUUUGUUUGAACGUGUGAUUUAAAAACAGUUUUCUGUUUUUAAAAAUAUAAAAUUGUUUUUAAACAUUUAUAACACCGUUUUUUCAUUGUUUACUACAAGCAAUUUUUAAAAACAAAGUAAAAUAGAGAACAAUUUUUAGAGAACAAGUAAAAGUUGUUGCCACUAGUUUUUAAAAAUAAAAGGAAAACAUUGACCCAUUUGACCGUAUUUUCUUAAACUUGUUUUUAAAAACUAUUUUUUAUUCUUUAACUUAAAAACAAUUUUUAAAGACAAGUUUUAGAAAACAUGACCAAAUGGAUCCUAAAUCUUCAUGAAUAUAUGAUCCUCCAACAAUCCCUAAUUUCACAUCCAUAAUUUCUGUUAUUCCACUCCUAUAAUUUGUAUCAUGCUCCCAUAUUAUUAUUCUUCUCCAAUAAUCCCUAAUUCUGCUUUAUUCCACUCUAAUAAUUCCCUAAUUCGCUACAUGAGGCUUGACCCGAGACUAGCUCUUUUGCCCCUUCUUGACCGGCUUAACCCACUUCUCCAAAAGAGGUCGAGGGUGUUGUUCUCAUUUUAGGGACCACAACACCAGGUUACCCAACAAUUACUUUGUUCUUUCUUCAUUCUUCCUACAUUUCUCCAAUUGCAUUAUGACACAUUCAAAUGCUGUUGAAUUGUUUUGAGUAUAUAUAUCCAACGAGAGACAGUAGCAGCAACUCUAGUCAUAGUCAUAGGUCAUACAGAAAAUGACUUAUUUAUAGGCUUGGAACUUAUUUCUAGAAAUAUAAGUCUUCAUGUAUAUAUGAUUCUCCAACAAUUCUUAAUUUCACACCCAUAAAUUCGUUAUUCCACUCCGAUAAUUUGUAUCAUGCUCCCAUAUAAUACUAUUCUUCUCUAAUAAUUCCUAAUUCUGCUUUAAUCCACUCUAAUAUAUAUAUGUCUUAAUUUCACUUUCAAGGGCAAAGUUAUAAAUACUUUAUUCUAUUAAUUUGUACCAUGAUCUAAUUGUUUUAGUCACAUUGCUUCAUAUUUUUGUUCCAAUUAUGAGAUAUGGUGGACUUUAGGAUUUUAAUUGAGUUAAAAUAUAUUUAUUAGAUUAUUAAAAACUGGACAAAUGCUCAAACCUAAUGCUCAAGUGCUCAAACUUGGUGCUUAAGUGCUUUGAGAGCACUCAAGAAGAGGAAACUUGAGUGUUUGAAGCAUAUUUUUCCAAAUUUGAAUUCUCGAUUUUGUUUUAAGAAUUGGUUUUUGGAAACUUUAAUUACAUAUCUAUCCACUAGGGUUUCAUCCCUAUAUAAAUAUUAUGCCUAAAAAUUGUUUUCGUUAUUGAUGCAAAUUUGAAAAAGAGAUUAUUAGCCUUUACUACAUUCUAACACUCCCAAGUUUUUAUAGUUCUCAUUAUUUAGGUUCGUGAGAAAAAUAUGUAUCCUUUCAAGUAUUGAGAUAGUCUAUUGGUUGCACAUGUGUGCUGCGUUGCAAACUUGAAAACUAGUAUAUGUAUUGGUGAAAAAACUUAGGGAUAAUAUAUAUCUACUAUGUAAAUUUGUAUAUUUUUCUUUUAACAGAAGAUUUGUGUUUUACGAUCUUUAAUCCUAUUAUUUUUAUAUCUAUAUGAUCUUUGAGAGACCUUGUAAAUGGUUUUCCACAUAAAAAUCGUUGAUUUCUCUUCUUUCUUUCUAAUUAUUGAAGAAGAAUUAAAAACCAAAAUUUGUACCAAAAAAGUUAUUACAUAUUCACCCUUCUCUGUGUUUCGUAAUCAAAAUGUACAAUCUUUUAACAUGUUAUACAAUUAAUUUAUAAAACAUAGAGGAAAUUUUUUUGAGUAUAAUUAAGAUAGAGAAUUCCAAGCACAAUUAAGGUUGAUGGAUUUAGUAUGAUUUAAAGAGGAAUUAAAAAUAAAAAAAUUUCAUUAAAAAGAAGUUAAUACAUAUUCACUCCUUUUAAGUAUUUCAUAAUCAAAAUGCAUAAUCUUUUAGUAUUUCAUAGAAUUAACUUAUAAAAUAUGAAGAAGAUUUUGAGAGAAUAAUUAAGAGAGAGAGAAUUCCAAGCACAAGGUUGAUGGGUUUUUUUAGUGCAUUCAUCAUUGAGUUGUAACUAUAUCAAAGUUGUUAAAAUAAUUUAUUAAAUUAUUAAACAGGUUUCAAUCUUUUUAAAUAGGAGUGACAUUGGAAGUGAGACUACCAAGCCAAUAACCAAUGGUUUUGGACCACUUACAUAGUUCCAUGGAUGUCACUUUGGAUGGGACUGCAUUGAAGCUCUUUUCCAUCUCCUUGACCCACUUCUUCCAAGAAGGUUGUUGCCCACCGAUUACUCUCCCUUCCUCAACCAUUACUUUUGUGAACCUCAUCCUCUCCUUCACAACUACCUUUUCUUUUGGCUCUCUUGGAAAAAUGAUGCAUCUUUUUUCACUUUAUGUUUCAGUGCUUUUUGGGUACAUUGCUUCACUCCCAUGGUAUUGUCCAUCAAUUUAGUUGAUGAGUUUGCUCUUAUUGCCUUAAAAUCCCAUAUCACAUAUGAUUCCCAAGGCAUUUUAGCAACAAAUUGGUCUACCAAAAGCUCUUACUGCAAUUGGUAUGGUAUUUCUUGCAAUGCUCCUCAACAAAGAGUUUCUGCAAUCAAUCUCUCUAACAUGGGUCUUGAAGGAACUAUUGCACCACAAGUAGGCAACCUCUCGUUUCUCGUUUCCCUUGAUCUUAGUAAUAACUACUUCCAUGACUCUCUUCCGAAGGAUAGGAUAUUGGUAAGAUUCUCAUAAAUUUUGUCUACUUUAUGACAAUACUCAUAUUUCUUGCUUCAAUAUUUAAUAUCAAUAAAGGCAAUUCAUGUUUGGUUCCCAAAAAUUUAAGAAAAAAUGCGAGUAAAAAAAAUUAAAGAGGAAAAGUAAAAGAAAAUAAAAAAUAAUUUUAAAAUCAACAAAUUAUUUUUGUAUUUUGUUUUAAAUUCAUUUUACUUAUUUUUACUUUUUUCUAUAGAGAUCUAAUAAUUUGAAAAUACAAAAGUUUUAACCGAUUUUAAUUAUAAAUGAUUUUCUUCUCCAAUCUUGGGGCAUGGUUGGGAUUAUGAUGAUGUUUGUCUUUCAACAAUGAUGAAAGGAAAACAAUUAAGUUGUGAUAAAGAUAGUUGAGUACUUGAUAAAUUAUAGUUUCAAAAAUAAUAAUUAAAUAUUUGGUAAAUUGGAUUGCUAAAUUAUUGUGAUCAUGUUUGAUAUAAAAUUAAUAAUUAAAUAAAUUAUUAUACAAUUUAAAAAUUAGUUCAUUUGUUUAUCAUUUCUUUUUUUUCUUUUUUUUCUAUUUUGAAUGAAUUCAAGUAAACAUAAUCAUACUGGUUGUAAUAAUUUUUAUUUUAAAUUUUAGAAUAAGUAAUACCAAACACAAAUUAGAACAUCUUUCAUUUGAUAGAUAAUUUUAAUUAUAUAGAAAAUUUGGAUCCCAAAAAUUAAAUUAUUGAAAAGAAAACAACAUAAUUUGAGGAAAGAUGUUAUACAUUAAAAUGAAAAAAAAAUAUUUAAUAGAUAUGAAAUCAUUUCAUAUAUAUAUAUAUAUAUGUAACUUAAUUUAAUUUAAUAUAAUAUAGUUAAAGCUAUAAUAUAAUAUUUAUUUGUGACAAACAAUAGUAGAUAUUUUUGUUGUUAAUAUUCCCAAUAAAAAAUAAAAAUAAAACAUCAAUUAGCUAAUUAUAUUCUAUACUCAACAUUUGUGUUAAGUGUAUAGUUAGUUUCACAAAUUAUUUGAUAAUAUAUUAUAGAAUAAGAGACAUUAUUGUACACAAUUCAAACCAUCAUAUAGGCUACCUAAAUGUUUAGCAACCAUCAAUAUGUGAUUCAUGAUAUGUUUUCCUCCAAAUUAGUGCUAUUCAUGGCAAGUUUUACUUGCCUCUUUUAAAUAUUAUCGUUAUGGUUGAUUCCAAGAAAGUAUUAAGAAAAAAAAAUAUUAAACAAAAUAAUUUUUUAUAUCUGCUUUUACUAUGAAAAAUAUAUAAAAAAUAAAAUAUAAUUAAAAUCAAUUAAAACUUAUCUAUUUUUAAAUUAUUUAAUCUUUAUAUAGAAGAGUUAAAACAAGUGAAAUAACAUAUAAAUAAUCUAUUGAUUGUAAGUCUACUUUUUAGUUUUCUUUACUUUUUUUUUUCUAUUUUUCCUCUCUAUUUUCUUUUCCUCAUAUUUUCUUGGAAUCAAGCAAAACCUUUGACUAUGUUUGGUUUCCAAAAAAAUAUGAGGGAAAAAUAAAAUAAAAAGGAAACUUAGAAGAAAAAAAAAUGAAGAAAAAUAGAAAAUAGAUUUAAAAUUAAUAAAUUAAUUUUAUAUAUUGUUUCAAAUUCAUUUAAAAUAAAAUAAAAUAUAUUUAAAGUAAAUAAAUUGAUUUUAUUUGUUUCUUCAAAUUUAUUUACAUAUUUUAAUAUUUCUAUAUAAGAAAUUAAUAAUUUAAAAAUGCAUAAAAUUUUAAUUAAAUUUAAUUAUAUUUUAUUAUGGUUCUUAUUUUCUAUAAUAAAAUCAAUCAUGAGAAACUAAUUUUCUUUUAAUAUUUUUUUUUCUUUCUUUUAUUCUCGUAUGGAACCAAACAUAGUCUAUAUGUUGAUGAUAAUAAUAUUUCAAAUCAUUUUUUUUUAGGUAAGUGCAAGGAGCUUCAACAGCUGAAUUUAUUUAAUAAUAAAUUGGUUGGAGGCAUUCCAGAAGCCAUUUGUAAUUUAUCAAAACUUGAAGAGCUAUAUCUUGGUAAUAAUCAGUUGAUUGGUGAAAUUCCAAAGAAAAUGAAUCAUCUUCAGAAUCUGAAGGUAUUGUCAUUCCCAAUCAACAACUUAACAGGUUCCAUACCAACCACCAUUUUCAAUAUAUCUUCUUUGCUCAACAUUAGUCUCUUCAAUAAUAGUCUCUCUGGGAGUCUUCCCAUGGAUAUGUGCUAUGCCAAUUCAAAGCUCAAGGAGCUCGAUCUUUCAUCAAGUCAUUUGAAUGGAAAGAUCCCCAUUGGUUUAGGCCAAUGUAUAAAGCUUCAAGUAAUUUCCUUAGGAUAUAAUGAUUUCACAGGAAGCAUACCAAGUGGAAUAGGUAACUUGGUGAAGCUUCAGAGAUUGUUCAUCAGUCAAUGUACACUUUUUCUUUCAUCUAAAGCUUUCAAAGAUCUAUUAUUUUUCUAACCUAUUCAUUUUAAAUGUGUUGUAGGAUAAAUCCCCUCCAAUUUGUCGCAUGACUUGGGUGCAUUAAGAGUUAUACAGAAGAUCCAAGUCUUGGAUUCCUUGUAAGUAGAUGGUUUGUUCAUAACCAAUUCAUGGACCUAAACAAUUUGUUUAAGGUUGUAGUGCUCCACUUCCUAAUUAGAGGGAUGGUUAGUCUUGGUUGUUGAGAUGGGGUUCCCAUGGUAAGGGCACUAGUGUGUAUAGUUACACAUUGGACAUGACCUACAAUGAGUUAUGACAUAAGGUUAUCAGGUAGUCAUGACUUUACUAAGUUGCUAUACUGUAUAGUCUUUUAACCUUGAGAGAAGGUUAAGCUUGUAUAGAAGUUAGUAGUGGCUUUGGUCUAUGGGUGAGAUCAUAAGUUGAUUAUAUAUUCCCUAUGGAUUAGGUUAUUAUUAAUGAAAGUUGGUAGCAAAAGGUAUUCUCAAAAGAGGUGCCAUGAUAUCUCAUAGAAUUUGAGAUAGUAUGCCUCCUUGGGUGAUCCUAAAGACAUGUGAUCAUAAAAUCUGUAAGCCUACAAUAAUUCUUUUAGUAGAAUUUGGCAUAUGCUCUUAAUGAGCUAGAGUAUGUCAUUUGAUCACAUAAUAAGAGGAUUUGUAACUUAAGGAUUGUAAAGGUAGUCUUAAAAUGUUGAUAUCUUUCACCUUGUUAGAAUAUGGAUGGCUAGUUCAUAGGGAGACUAUAUAUAGUGGAUAGUAAGUCACGAACCUGAGCACUUGAUGUCUCAAUGUAAUAUACAUAGGGUACGAGAGUGUAGUUGACUCUUUAUAGUGGGAUGUUGAGUCAACUUUAGAAUUGGAUCAUGAGGGAGCUAGUAUGUCAUAUGGGUCCAAAUGGUCUUCGUUUGAGCUCAUGUUCCUUGAUGACAUGGUUUAUAAGGGUUGGAUGGGUUUUUAGUUCACUUAUGUGCAUAAGAGUGUUUUGGUAACUAAGUAAGGUUGCACAAGGGAUAAGUAAACGAUAUCGUUGGAAGGCUAAUUGAUUAAUUGGAACCCUAUUAGGUUUAUUAAUCAAUUAGCAACCUUUUUUGCCUAGAUUAAGUGAACCAAGCUCGUGGUGGACUCAAGUCACUCAUGCCCAGUAGGAAGCCUAUAAAUACCCUUUUAAGGAUUAGGGUUUUUAACUUUUGUCAUUCUCUUCCUCCAGUCCAGAGAGAGAACCUUAACCUUCAACCUUGAAAUCUCCACCAUCUCGAUGCCUAAACUUAAUGAGGAGUCAUAGGGUAGAAUAUCAUGGCAUUUAUGAGAUUUGUUACAAUUUCAGAGCUUUAUACAUUGAUAAGAAUCAAUUCGAGAAGAUUCAGGUCAUAGGUAUGACAUUUUCUCUUGAUCUAUGGUAUCUAUAUUGGUUUUUGAGACUAAGUUUUCUGCUUUGUUUAGAUCUGGAGAAGCCUAGGAUAGAUAUUCAUGCACCCUAACGAUCCAAGGCAUUAGAACAAAAUAAUAUGGGGUUUCUUAACAAGAUAAGGCUAGGCUUGUAGCGGAGGGUUAUAGUAAAAAACACGGCUUCGACUAUGAUAAAAUCUUCUCAUCGGUAACCAUGCUCAAGUCCAUCAGGAUAUUCCUAUCCAUUAUGGUACAUCUCGAUUAUGAGAUACAACAAAUAGAUAUCAAGACUCUAUUCUUGAAUAACAGUCUUAAUGAGAGCAUCUAUAUGAUGCAACUAGAUGGUUUCAUAGCAAAGGGUUAAGAAUAUAUGGUAUGGAAGUUGCAUAAAUCCAUUUAUGGAUUAAAGCAAGCAUCCUGCUUAUGGAACUAAUGUUUCGAUUGGCAAUUAAAACCUUUAACUUUGAUCAAAACAAGGGUAGACUUUAUGUGUACAAGAAGGUGUAGGGAAACAUGGUGGCCUUUAUGAUCUUGAAUGUUGAUGACAUUGUACUCCUUAGUUAUGAUGUAUAACUAUUAUCAUCAAUCAAGAUCUAGUUAUCUACUCAAUUCCACAUGAAGGUAUUAGGAUAAUCAUAGUAUAUUCUUAGGAUUAAGGCCUUAUAAGAUUGCAAAAAUAGGGAAUUGAUAUUGUCUCAAGCCACUUAUAGUGAUAAGAUCUUGGUCAAGUAUACGGUACAAGAUUCAAAGAAGGGUUUCUUACCCUUCAAGUGUGAAAUUCCUCUUUUCCAAGAUCAGUGUCCUAAUACACCUAAAAAGAAAAAACACAUGCAAACAAUACUUUAUGCAUUAAUAGUGGGUAACCUUAUGUAUGCAAUGUUGCAUAUUAGACUAAACAUUUAUUUUGUAGUAGGUAUGGUGAGUAGAUAUAGUCAGAUCUAGGUUCAAAACAUUGGACAACUAUCAAGUAUAUACUCAAGUAUCUUAGGAGAAUAAAGAAUUAUAUGCUUAUGUGUGAUGAGUUAGUACCCAAAGGGUACAUGAAUUCAAUCUUAUAGUUUGAUAAGGAUUCUCAUUAGUCUACCUUUAGUUUUGUAUUUACCUUUGAUGGUGUGGUUAUUAGUUGGAGGAGUGCGAAACAAUCUUGCAUUGAUGACUCCACUAUAGAAGUUGAGUAUGUUGUAGUUUCUAAAGCAACAAAGGAAGCCAUUUAGCUUCGGAAGUUCCUCAUGGGAGUUGGGAUAGUAUCCUUGAUUGUAAAACCAUAACACUUCUAUGAAAACAAUGGGGGUGGUGACAUGGUAUAUGUGGUUACCAAAAGGGUAACCACAUUGAGAGAAAGUACUAUUUGUUAUGUUAGAUAGUUUAAAAGAGUAAUAUGAUGGUUGAGAAGAUACCUUUUACGGAGAACCUAAUAUAUCCUUUUACCAAGAAAUUCAUGUGGAGAGGAUUUAAUGAUCAUAGGGAUAACAUGGGUAUCAAAUGUGUACUUAGUUCGUUUUGUUAGCAAUGUUCUUUUAAGGUUAGUAGAAUAUUGUUAAGAUAAAGUUGUUAAAAGCAUGACAUGUUGUAACAAAUUUAGAAUUUAUUAUUCAUUUAGUAAUAUUCCAAUUUUACUUUUAUUUAUCCUUAUUCCAUGCAUUAUGCCUUAUUAGCAUUCUAACCUGACAUCUCUUACAUUGUACAUGACUUGGGUGCAUUACGAGUUAUAUGGAAAAUCCAAGUCAUGGGUUUCUUACAAGUUAAUGAUUUGUUCACAGCCAGUUCAUGGACUUAAGACAAUUCGUUUGAGGUUGUAGUGCAUUACCUCCUAAUUGGAAGGAUGAUUGGUCUUAGUUAUUGAGAUGAGGUCCUCAUAAUGAAUGCACUAGUUUGUAUGGGUUAUAGAUUUUAUAAAACCUAUGGUGAAUCAUGAUGUAAGUCAUCAGGUAAUCAUGACUUCAUUAAGCUAUUAUAAUGUACUGUCUCUCAAUCUAGAGAAAAUACUAGGCUUAUGCCAAAGUUAGCAAUGACUUUAACUCAUGGGUGAAAUUUUAAAGUGUUCACAUAUUCUUUAUGGAUUAGGUAGCUAUUUAUGAAAGCUAGUAGUAAUAGUUAUUCUCAACAUAGGGACACGUGAUAUCUCAUGACACUGUGUACCCUUAGGUGAUCCUAAAAAUAUGAGAUCAUGAAAUCUACAGCCCGAAUAAUUCCCUAAUCAAAAUUUGACAUAUGCUCUUAUGAGUUAUGACAUGUCAUUUGAUCAUAUAAUAGGGAAAUCUAUAACUCAGGGAUAGUAGAAAUAAUCUUGAGAGGUUGAUAAAUUUCACAUUUGUAUAUCAUAGAGAGAUUGUAUACAAUGGAUAGUAGGUCAUGAUUUCAAACACUUUGUCUUUUUUUAAUAUACAUAGGGUAUUGAAUUGUAGCUGACUCUCUAUAAUAGGAUAUUGAGUUAGCUUCAGAAUUGGAUUAUGAAGGAGUUGUAUUAUUCUAUGGGUCUUAGUGGUCCAUGCUCAAGCUCAUAUACCUUGAUGACAUAGUUUAUGAGGGUUGGAUUGGUUCAUGGUUCACUAAUGUGCAUAAAAUUAUUUUUGUAAAUACGGAAAGUUGCAUAGGAAUAAGUGAACAAUAUAUCUGGAUUGAGUUAAUUGAUUAAUUGGAGCGCUAUUGGUUUAAUUAAUCAAGUAGGACCCUUUUUAGGUUAAAUUAAGCUACUUAAGCUACUUAAGCUUAAGGUGAUCUUAAGUUACUUAAGCUCAAUGGGAAGCUUAUAAACACUCCUUUAGGGUUAGGGCUUUAGAUUUGUGUCAUUCUUCUUUACAUUCCAAAGAAAGAAUCUUAGAUUCUACCAUUUAGAUCUCCACCAUUUGAGUGCUUAACUUUAAGGAGGCGCCAUCAGGGGAAAGAUAAGUGGGUUUAGAAAAUUUUUGACAACUAUCGCACAUUUGACAACCUUCUUCCCCACAAGAAUUGCAUUUGAGAACAUCCAAAUCUUGGUAAGCACUUCUAAUCUUUAGAUCUAUAUCCUCUUUUUGUUUUGAAUGCUUCUGCUGCUAAGAUCUAGAUAGCCUUAGGAAGUUUUUGAAUGUACCUAACUAAUCUAGGGCUUGGGAAUAGAGUGAUCCAAAUUCCCUACAAAAAGAAUAAGUGAGAGAUGACCUUAGCAAAGUCCACAACCUCCAUUAUCAAGUCCAUCUUAAUUUGGGUCUAUCACCAUCCCAACAAUGGGUUAGGUUUAAGGAAUUAAGGGUUAUGAACUUUCCAUAUGGACAAGACUACCUAUUAGUAGUUGAAGCAACCACCCCAACAAUGGUGUUUUUCACAUGAUAAAUUUGAUGUCAAGAAUAAUGGUUAUAUAUUUAUCUUGGAUAUGAACUAAUUGAAUCACCCACCAUGGUCCCACCUACAUAGUCCAAACUAAAACAUAAAAGGUAUGUUGAGCUUGCCUUGAGGUUAAAUAAGGCAAGAAGAUCAAUUUGACAAGGUCUCUACCUAGUAAUACGAUCAUGACCUACCCAAUGUAGGCUUCAUUCUAACAAAAGGAUAUAUAGUCUUAAGAACUAUACUAUUUUGCUAAAUUAAUUUAUAUUUUCCUUAUAGUGAAUGCUCAAUAAUCAAUGCAUAGUUUACUUUUUGUUACAAUAAUUAUGUCAUAUAAUCUUAUCAAACUUAUUCUUACUAAUAAUAAAUUAACUGAACCAAACUAUGUGGAUUGGAAAAGAAAUUUGGACAUAGUUCCAAAUACCCCUAAUGAAUAAUUUGCGCAAGAAAAGAGAGAUGCCUAUCAUAGUUGGCAUAAAGCGGAUCAAAAGGCCAAGUGUAUCAAACUCAAAUCUUUGGAUGAUAUGCUCUAAACUCAUUUGCUUUAGGGUUAAUGGAGCUAUCUAUAGUAUGUUUUUAUAUUUUUUAGAGAGAAAACAUUGAAGACUCUUCAAGAUUUGCUUUGUUUAUGCAAUAUAAUAAUCGUUUUUAGUUUCUUUUAAUUCAAGAAUGUUGAUUUUAACUUUCUUGAUGGUUUGUGUGAACAACACCACCUCCUUGAGAGGCUAACACCAUCUUGAGGUGUGAAGUUUGAAAACCUAGGGUUAGAAACCACUAGAGGAACAAUGGGCAAAUGAAAUUAAUAAUGACAUUAAUGUGAAAAUUAGAAACUCUCCAUGUUAGAUCAAUACUAGAAGUUAGAGAUUCUUGGCACAUUUUGAUCUUGAGUUAUCUCAAUUAGUUCUUUCGUUACAUGAUCUUCAAAAAAUCUAUAGGAGUAGUAAGGUUUGAAAGGUUGAAACAUAAACCCUAAAUUAAUUUCAAUUUAUCUAAUACGUAAAUUAGAGUUCGGAUGCAACUUUGAGUUAUAGAACUUAAGUCAAUCUUGCUCUAAAGACUAAAGACUAUAAGAUCCUAAUAAAUGUAAUGCCCUUGUUCACUCUAAAGUUUUACUCCUAAAGUUGGAUUGUGGAAUCCCUGAUCUUGAAUUGAUAGACUACAAUUAAUCCUCUGAGUAUUUUGCAAACUUAUUUAAAUUUUGUUUUAAUAAUUUAUGUACAAGUUGCAAAAACCAAUCGUCUAAAUAUUUUAUUUUUGAGUAUAGGUAACAAGAAAUCAACUUUGACCUAGUUUUGGUAAUUUUUAUAGAUUAGUUCAUGAGGGUGACCCAAAGUACUACAAAAGCCUAGGAUUUCUCUAUUUAGUUUUUCUUCACUAGAGUUGUUAUUUAAAAAGACUUCGUAUUUUAGACAACAAAAAAGAGCACAUACAUACCUAAAGUGUUUGUUGUUGCAACUUGCUUAACACUUGGACCCUUGGACCCGUGUUUAUAGUUGGGAAAGUUUGACCAUACUAGCUGCUCUUGGUCAAAAUGGAAACCCCAAAAUUGAACUUGGGUUUGAGUCGAGAAGCUAUGCUCUAACUCAUAUCAUUAACCAAAAAACCAACAUAGGUUUAAUCCAAAUUUGACUUGGCAACUCAGACCAUGCUAUGGAAUAUAAAUUGUUAGUUAUUGAAAAAAAAUAUAUUCAGGGCUAUUAAUAAUGCACCAAAUUUUGAAAGGACCAUGAGCUUACUACAUAAAAUUUUGUUUGAAAUACAAAAAUUUCUUUUCUAGGACUCCUCCAAACUGGCCCAUUUUCAGUGAUUGCUAGCAUGAUGACACUGUUCAAGAUUUUUGGAUGUACUUUUUGAAGUUAUAGAUAUUAAUUAAACUCAGAUUAAAUGACUUUGUCAAUGGCAUUGCUAGGAAUUUUAGUCAGGGAAAUUAAAAAAACUUGAGAAUGAGCAGCUAGUUGCAGUUUUUAUAGUGCAUAACACUUAUUAUCUUACAAAUUUUUCUUAGGAGUCAGCUUAUUGAAUUCCUAAUCUAUCUCGAGAAGUUCUUUGGCUGAAACUAAGGUUGGUGUGCUAAAUAUAUCUGGAGCUGAGUGGAUUUUAUUUUUGAGUUAUUAAAAUGCAGUGAUAUAUACUCUCCAAACCAUCCCUUUGUGACUGAUCAACUUUUUUGCAGACCCACUUUCUUCUUUAAUAAAGAGAUGCCCUUGCUUGUCGGAUCCAACUCCCUUUUUUGACACAUAUCAGAGACUCAUUAAUAGAACUCUGCAAUUCAGAAGUGCAAUUUACAAUAUAACAGAUAUGAGGAUGCUUCUGCAAGUGCUAGUAUCAGUUCAUCUCAUCACAAUCAUCAUCUCUUUCGUAUUUAUAGCACAGGAAGCAGGGGCAUCUAUGACCAAGCCUGGGUGCCCAGAGAAAUGUGGGAAUAUUACCAUUCCAUAUCCAUUUGGCAUGGGGAAAGGUUGUUACCUGAAUAGAAAUUUUGAGAUCACAUGCAACAUGUCCUCCAAUCCCCCUCGUCCUCUUCUCCUCCAAGAAGUUCAACUUUUGCAGAUAUCAGAAGACUAUCUGCGCAUCAACGAUAUUGUUCACCAUAGCUGUUUUAAUAAGCAAUCAGGGAAGACGAAUUCAUCACAUGUACCAUAUAACAGAACUCAUCAUUUCAGUUACUCACACACCCAGAAUGAGUUCAUAGCCAUCGGGUGUGACAUAUUUGCUUAUAUCACUGAGGACAACAGUAAAACAAACGCAACUGGGUGUGCAUCGCUUUGUAAUACUGAUGAAGACAUCGCUACUGAUUUUUCCUCUUCUGCUUGCUCUGGCAUUGGUUGCUGCAGGACUUAUCUCCAAACAGAUAUUUCACGGUUUUAUCUGAAGAUGCGUAGCAUCAACAUGAUCACACCAAUCUGGACCUCUCAACCAUGUGGCCUUGCUUUCAUUUCUGAGAGGAACUUCUCCAUACGUCAAUAUUUUAACCUCUCUAGUAAAUUUUUAGAGAGGAAUUUGUAUUUUGUUCCAGCAGUACUUGACUGGUCAGUUGGGGACGUCUCUUGCCCUGAGGCUAUCAGAAGAAAAAACUAUGCGUGUGGCCAGAAUACGUACUGCCAUAACUCCAUCCAGGGCCAGGGGUAUAAGUGUCACUGCUCUAAAGGCUACCAAGGGAACCCCUACCUUGCAAACGGCUGCCAAGGUACAGUUUCAUCUCCUUUUCAACAUUUUUUAUAUUUAUUUUUCUUGCCACGAGGGAACAUCGCGAUCCUUCUUUUCUUUUCUUCUGAAUCUUUGCUUCUGUGAUAUAUAAGAAAAUCAGUUGAUAAUUUUUGCUUCAUGGAAAUACUUCUGUGUUCUCUGCAAAGAAGGAAUUAAAAAUUAUCCAUGGCUCUUUGGUUAUGAAUAAAGGACUUAUCCUUUGAUCAGUUUUUUACAUAUCAGACCUAAAAGUCAUAAGGCCAUGGCAACUGUAAUUUAUUAUAAAAUGAUGUGUUCUAAGGAAUUUUAGGACUAAGCAACCCCUCAGGAUAAAUUAAGAGUUAGAAUUUUAGCUUAUGAAUUUCCUAAAUUCUCACUAAUAUAUAUUUUUUUUCUUUUGUGUUCUCAAAAGAUAUUAAUGAGUGCAACGACCCAGACGAAACUUUUUGCCUCAAGAUAGCUCUUUGCACUAAUGUCCCUGGCAGUUACUCGUGCACUUGCCCAACUGAUUACCAUGGAGAUGGCAAGAAAGAUGGAACUGGGUGCAUACGUGGCAAGCAUCCACAUUUGCUAUCAUUGGUACUUUCUCUAGGUAUAAAACUUUACCAUUCUCCAACACCUAGCACUCGAAUCCCCUUCUCUACACUAACUUUUGUGUCUGAUGUAGGUGUGGGGAUUACUGUUGUUCCCUUUAUCCUAAUUGCUACAAGCUUAAGGUUAUACCGAGGACUUGAGAAAAGAGAGAAAAAGAAAAUAAAACAGAAGUUCUUCAAGAAGAAUGGAGGUCUGCUAUUGCAACAGCAAAUUUCUUCUAGCAAGGAAAGUGUAGAAAAAACAAAACUCUAUUCGGUAGAAGAGUUGGAGAAAGCAACAGAUGGUUUCAAUUUAAGUCGAAUCAUUGGUAAGGGAGGCCUCGGCACAGUAUACAAAGGGAUGUUAUCAGAUGGAAGCAUUGUAGCCAUUAAGAAAUCCAAUACGGUUGAUGAGAAGCAGUUAGACCAGUUCAUUAAUGAAGUUUUGAUUCUUUCACAGAUCAACCAUAGGCACAUAGUAAAACUAUUAGGUUGUUGUCUGGAGACUGAAGUACCUUUGCUGGUUUAUGAAUAUGUCUCUAAUGGCCCCCUCUCCCACCAUCUUCAUGAUGAGGGUCAUGUAUAUAGAAUAUCUUGGAAAAAUCGGCUGCGAAUUGCAAGUGAAAUUGCUGGAGCCCUUGCUUAUUUGCACUCGCAUGCUUCUACAGCCAUCUGUCAUAGAGAUAUCAAGUCUAGCAACAUAUUGUUGGAUGAAAACCUCCGGGCUGUACUUUCUGACUUUGGACUCUCAAGGUCAAUACCCCUUGACAAAACUCAUUUAACUGCAUUGGUACAAGGGACAUUUGGUUACUUGGAUCCUGAUUAUUUUCAUUCAGGUCAAUUGACUGAUAAAAGUGAUGUUUAUGCCUUUGGUGUAGUCCUUGCUGAACUUCUGACAGGAGAAAAAGCCAUUUCCUUUGAUAGAUUUGAACAAGGUCUAGCAAGUCAUUUUAGAUCAGCAAUGAAACAAAAUCAUCUGUUUGAUAUUCUUGAUAACCAAGUUGUAAAUGAAGGACAGAAGGAUGAUAUUUUUGCUGUUGCAAAGCUUACUAAGAGAUGCCUAAAGUUGAAUGGGAAAAAAAGGCCAACCAUGAAACAAGUUGAAAUAGACCUCCAACAACUGGGCAGAUUUCAGGAGCAGUU
rnacentral:lncRNA from 1 species